rnacentral:lncRNA from 1 species
UCUGAUCUUCACUUGGCACAUAACAGAUUUUGAGAUCACCAGAUAACACUUUGUCUCGAAUAAAAUGAACAUCAAUCUCAAUGUGUUUGGUUCUUGAAUGGAACACAGGAUUCUUUGCUAGCUCUGUUGCACUUAUAUUAUCACACCAUAUUGUUGGUCUCUCUACACAGUAUACUUCCAUUUCCAGAAACAAUGACUUUAACCAAGCUAUCUCUGAAGCAGCUGAAGCAAGUGCUCUAUAUUCACUCUUAGCUGAAGACUUAGUGACUAUUGUUUGCUUCUUUGAAGACCAUGAAAUCAGAUUAUUUCCAAGAUACACACAGUAGGCUCCAAUCGACUUCCUAUCAUCCAAGUCACUUCCCCAAUCUGCAUCAGUGAAUGCAGUGAUUUUCAAAUCACCAUCCUUUACAAACUUUAAACCAUAAUCCUGUGUCUCCUUUAGGUAUUUAAGAACCCUUUUGCAAGCCAUAAGAUGUUGCAUAGUUGGUGCAGAAACAUAUUGGCUUAACUUGUGAACAAAAUAAGCAAUUUCUGGUCUUGUCAAUAUCAGAUACUGGAGACCACCUACAAUGCUUCUAUAAUGAGUUGCAUCUUCAACAUAGUAACCCAAUUCUCCUUUAACUACCUUCUGCAACUUUGAGUCUUUGCCACUGCACAUUGGUGUUGUCACUCCUUUGCACUCAAGCAUGUCUACUUUAGCAAGCAAAUCUCUGAUAUACUUCUUUUGAGACAAAUAAAUGCAAUCCUGACCAUACAACACUUCUAUACCAAGGAAAUAGGACAAUCUUCCUAAAUCUUUCAAUGCAAAAACAGUAUUAAACUGUUGAAUGAAGCUGUCCAAUUCUUCAUUGUUAGGUCCAGUAACUAAUAUGUCAUCAACAUAUAUCAAUACCAUAAUGAGUGACACUUUAGUUUUUCUUAAGAAUAAGGAAGAAUCAGAUUUUGAAUUUCUGAAACCCCAUUGAAGAAGACAUCCCCUGAGCUUUUCAAACCAGGCUCUAGGAGCUUGCUUAAGACCAUAUAAAGCUUUGUGUAAUCUGCAAACAUAGUGAUGGGUGUCGAAGCCAACAAAAAUAAAUUCCUACUCUAAAUAAAUUGUGUAUAGUGAUUGAGCAGGGUCGUGUCCACAGAGAUCGGUAAUUAUUUAAAUCCUUUUGAAACGUAAAACGUAAAAUGGGGGAAUUGUAGACAAUAAUAAAAAUCAAAUUAAAUAACAAGAAUGCAAAUUAAAGUUGUAAUUCAAAUUGGAGAAAGCUCUGGUUGAAGGAAUUAACUAAGCUUGAUUCGACUACUGAUCAUUGAUUCAAAUAUAGAUUAUUAUUACUCAUGAAUAGACCGGUUAUAGCUAUUGAGACCCUCUAAUAGCCAAUCUCUCCUUAACUAGUCGAUAACCAAGGUACGACCGUUGGAUAUUUCCCUAAUCAAUAGACAACCCUAGAUACAAUCAUAGGAUUUAAUCAAUUGACAGCCUGAAAAAUCAGAGAGACCCAAAUCCUAAUUAACACAUAUGAUGAUUCAUUUAAAUUAGAUUGUUUAUUCUCACAACACAACUCUCUGCUAUGUUAUUUGUCACAAACAUCAAAUUCUUCAUACGAUGAAUCCUUUAAUUGACAAUAGAUUAAGUUGAUAAUUAAAUAGUGGCCAAUUACCUAAUUAACAAACAUAAUCAUGAAAAUAAUUCAGAGAAUAAACAAAUACCCAAAAAGUAAUAAAACAAUUAAAGCACAAGAAAGAUCUCACAGUAGUGAUGAAUCAAAGCUUCAUUAACCUUCAACCAGAAAAAUGGGUUUAGUUCCUCAUAGAGAGAAGAGAAAAAUUAGAUCUAGGGUUUCUUUUUCUCCAAUCCAAAUCCCCCUUUUUCACAAUAAAUUCUUCCCUUAAAUACUCUCUCUCUCUUCUCUUUUAGAAUUCUAUUUAAAAUAAAAUACUAAUAUCUGAAAUAUUAAAUUCGUAAUUACAAAAAUAACCAAAAAUACAAAACACGUUAAACUAAAAACUGCAGGUCCGCAGUUGACAGCACGCGCCCACGCCUUAUCAACAAAGUUCUUCUGACGCUCAUAAUUUCUCCAAGAGAACAAUCCUCCUUAAACAUCAUCUUUUAGCUCAAUUUUAUCACCAAUCAAUAGAAUUGCACCUACAAAAGUAAAACAUAAGUAAAACAUUAUUAUUAAAUGCAAAACAUCGAUAUUAAGGGAAGUAAAUAAUGCAAAACUAGUGCAUAAAUUGCACUCUAACAAAUUCCCCCACACCAAGAUGAUGCUUGUCCUCAAGCAUAUAACUCAAGAUUAAUCCCAAAUCUCCACUCAAUUCUCAUCUCAACUCAUCCAAAAAUAAUUUUAAGCAAGCAUACCUCAAGAAAUUAAGUCGAUCAACAUUCGAGAGACAAGGACUUUUAAAGCAUAGAAUCUCAUAAGAUAGAAUAAGAACAUUUAACCACCAAGAAGAUCCAUUCAAAAUUCAAGUGCAACAAGAUUUAAUAGCCCUCUCAAUGACUUCACUCCAUGCACUCAAAGUGUUUAGGGUAUCAUCUAUGCACUCAAAUCAAAUCAAAGAAUGCUAUUACCAUAAGCUUGCUCAUAUAUCACAUCUCAAUCCACAAAACAUGAAUAAAAUGCAAAAAUCUAAGGGUCUUAAAAGGGUUGUAAUGGGGUUAAAUAGGUUAAAUGAAAAAGAAAGGUCUAUGAAAGAAAAAGAGAUCAAAAUGAGAAGAAUGAACUCAUUGAAUGAACUUAUGAUAUCAAAAUGCUUAUUUCUACUCAAGUCACCACGAAUGUAAACAUUUUUUUUUUCUUCUUUUUCUCUUUUUUUUUGAUUUUUUUUUUGAUUUUUUUUUCGAUUUUUCUUUUUCUUUUUUUUUCUUUUUCCUUUUUUUUUUUUUUGAAUCAAACAAAAGAAAUGAACCUUGCACAAUUUAAUUCAAGCAUAAUGCUUGUUGAUCUAAUUGAGAAACUUUAAUACAAGGUAGAAAAAGCAACAAAAUAUAUACAAAAUAUAUCCACACAAUGAGUCCAAAAAUCUCCUUAAAUUGAGGCUCAAAAAGAAGAAAAAUGGUUAAGUAGACAGAGAGAAUUAGAUGGGUAAUGGUUAAGGCUCAAACAAAGAUAGUAAAUCAAGGUCUUCGGGUAGAGAAAAAAAAAGAAAAUGCGAGAAUAGAAAAAUGGUAAAUGGUUUGCCCUUAUCAUUUUAAUGCAAAAAUUCCCGUAAUGUGGCUUCAACAUGCAUAACAAAGCAAGUUCUAGAAUAAACAAACUAAGAUUGAUAUUCACAUAAUAAAAAUAAUUAGAGCAAAGUGGUUGCUCAUAGGCUCAAAUCCUCACAAAGUUGGUAAAUUUGCCAUCAAAUCAUGUACACUCUUCAAAUGAAUCAACCAUCAAUAGUGGUGUAGAAUGGGAAGAAGGUAUGAGUGAAGGAAAGGUAAAAAUGAUAAGAAGUGAGAAAGAUGUAUGUAGUAAUAUGAAAAGUGAAAGAUAAAAUGUGAGUGAUGAAAGAGUAUGAUAGAAUAAAAAUAGAUGUAAAUAAUUUGAGAUAGAUGGGAAAAAAGUAGUGAGAAAGAAAAGAAAAGAAAAAUAAUAAUAUAUGAAGCAUACUAACUCCAAAAUCAUUUAAGGAUGAGUAGAAUGAAAAUAGAUGAGUAUAGUGAAAAUAAUACUUCCAGACAUCAAUAAUGCAAAAAUCCCUCCCCCACACCAAGAACUUACAUUGUCCCCAAUGUAAGAUAAUUAAAGCUCACAUAAAAAUUAAAGCGUAAGGAUAAAAGAUUAAGGGCAAAAAGAAACUUCCCUGAAUUGUGAGCUUUGAUCCACAUAACGUCUAUGGGCUUGGCGGAAAUGGUGGGGUAAAACCCACACUCUCGAAGUAUGCGGCCAAAUUCUGCUCCAUUUUGUUCAACUUGUGCUCCAUUUUCUCUAACUGAAUGCUCAAAGGUGGUGCGGAUGUAGAAGGAAUAGUUGGCGGGGCAACAGUGUCGUCGUCAAACUCGUCAUCAGAGGUAGCACCACUCCUAGCAUAAAGCUUCUUCGGAAGUUGAGUGGGUCCUGGUUCAGUAAACUGAAAUCUCCCCUCCUUGAAUUCGACCACACAUGUUCUUUCAAACACAAACAUAUCCAAAAAUUCAUUUUUGCAAGCAGGAUGCAAAUCAUUAUUGUCAGGAUCAAGCACACAUAGGUUUAUAGCUAACAGAGUAAUGUAUGGACCAAGAAAUAAAGUCUUAUACCGUUUAAGCACACUUUGAAAUUGAUCCGCUAACCAAAAACCUAAAUUAGGCCUCACAUCAUUUAACAUGCACCAGAUAAAAUAAAAUUCAGUUUUAGAGAAAAUUCCUGAGUGAUCUUUCUUGCCUAAAAAAUUAUAUGCUAAGAAUCGAUGCACACAUUUCAAAACAGGAUCACGUAAGAAAGAACUCUUUGGUUUACUCGGGUCAUAGGCAUUGUGAUCAACAGAUAAAUUACGCCAAAGACCAUAAGGCUCAAAAUUUUCGCUAAAGUCACAAGUUGUUCCUAAAUAUUCAUCACUAGUAGAAUAAUAAUCAUCAAUGAAUCCUAAAGCUAGGUUAAAAUGCGUGAUAGAGUGUGAAAAAUUUCGUCCCAUUAACCUAAACUUAAUGACAUCCGGGGUAUGCAAAGUAAAAUCAUUCGGCAUAGUGAAUUGAAAAGUAGCAUAAAACUCCCUAAUCAACUCAACAUAACCCAAGCAAUCAACAUCAACAAACUUACGCAACCCAAUCUUAUCUAUCAAAGAAUCAAAAUUAUCUUUAACAUUUAAUUUUUCAAGAGUCGGGUAAUGAAUAUACUUAGCUGGAAGUAUUUUGCGCGUGGAAAUAUCUUUGUACCUCUCUUUCUCUUGUUGAGUCGCGAAUGCGAGGCACCCUCCGAGAUUGGAUUCCGCAAGUGGCAAAACACUCAUGCCUUUUCCAUGCUUCGAUCUUUGUCUCACGGCUUGGCGUGAAUCUGAAAUUAUGUUCCAUGGAACCGUAGUGGGAGCGGCAAUCUUAGAUUUCUUUGCGACGGGUGUCUUUUUCGACGACUUGGAAGUAGAUGCUUUCCUAUUCGGCAUUGUUACAAUAAUUGCACUCACGGAUUUCGAUUUACCCGGCUGGAAUACAGGGCGUAGGCUGGUUGUGUUGCGCUUGCUGCUCGGCUGGAGCUUGUUGCGCGAGUUGGGGCUGGUUGUGCGCGCUGCUGAGGCUUGCUUUGCGGGUGCUGGUUCGUUGCUGUGUUGCGCGCGCGGGGCUGUUGCGCGCGAGAGCCAGUUCGCGUUGCGGGUCUGCGUUGCGGAUCUGUUGCGCUGCGCGCGCGGGACUGAUGUGCUGCGCUGAGGCUGAUUCGCGCUGCUGCUAGUUGCGGUGCGCGAUGCUGUGCGCGGCGGCUGGGGCUGAUUCGCGCUGCGCGCGCAACUGGGGCUUAUGUUGCGCGCUGCGCUGCUGGUUCUGGGCGUACUCGUCUGCUGCUGCUGGUUGCGCGGUGAAGGCUGGAGCUGAUGCUGCUGUAAAACGAUAAUCAACAGUAAUUUUUGAAUUAGGGAUUUGUGAACAGUGAUUUUCGAUUUUUGGUUUUUUUUUAUAUAUAUAAAUAAAUAUAUAAAAGAAAGAAAGGAACGAAAAUAAAUAAAUAAAUGAUGAUUUUCGAUUUUUGGUUUUUUUUUUUUUUUUUUUUUUUUUUUUUUAGUGAUGAAUCACUUUGAGACACUAAAAAUUUCAAAAGUACUUUUCUAAUAAGUACGUGGGCAUGCCUUAUCAAAAAUUUUCUUCUGACCAAAAUAAACAAACAAAUUAAAUUUCAGAAGUAUUUUUCUAAUAAGUACGUGGGCACGCCUUAAAACUUUGAGACAUUAAAAAUCACAGAAGUACUUAUUAGUUAAGACGUGGGCACGCCUUAUCAAAAAUUUUCUUCUGACCAAAAUAAGCAAACUCAUUUUUUUAAAUUUUUUUUUCUUUUUUAAAGAAGAUAAAACAAAAACCAAAAUAAACAAAUCAUUUGGGUUGCCUCCCAAAAAGCGCCUUUGUUUUAUGUCUUUGGCUAGACACAUUUAUGCAUCAAUCUCCAUAAUUGGGACUCUCGAGAGCCACAUCCUCCACAAUAUUCACCGAAAAACCUUCAUAAAAAGGUUUUAAGCGAUGACCAUUAACCUUAAAAACUUUGUCAGAGGUCGGACUCCGAAUCUCAACUGCACCAUGAGGAAAAAUAUUAGUAACAAUAAAAGGUCCAACCCAACAAGAACGUAAUUUAUUCGGAAAAAGUUUAAGCUUAGAAUGAAAAAGAAGAACUUUUUGACCAACAGAGAACUCCUUUCUCAAAAUCAUUGUAUCAUGAAAUGUCUUCGUCUUUUCCUUGUAAAAAACUUCCUGCACUAUAGGGUUAAUAACAUCCACAGAAAAUACCGAAUGUUCCUCACUAGGAUAUUUCAUGGCAUCAUUCAUAUUGAAUUCUAUAACCUCUCCAUCAAACUCCAUAGUGAGAGUCCCUUUAUGUACAUCCAUUUUAGUCCUAGCAGUCUUAAGAAAAGGUCUUCCUAGCAAAAUUGGGACAGAAUUAGAGGAGUUAUCAUCUUCCAUAUCAAGUACAUAAAAAUCAGCAGGAAAAACCAACUCAUUAACUUGUACUAAGACAUCUUCUAAUACCCCAUCAGGAUAUGCAUUAGACCUAUCAGCUAGUUGAAUUAUCACGCCAGUUUCUUUUAAUGGACCAACAUUCAAAGAUGAAUAAAUGGAACGAGGCAUGACAUUAAUAGAAGCUCCUAGAUCUAACAAAGCCUUUUCAAUUCUAACACUACCAAUUUUACAAGGGAUAGUAAACAUACCUGGAUCCUUGCACUUAGGAGGUAGUUUCUUUUGGAGAACUGCUGAAACAUUCUCCCCCAUGUGAACUUUUCCAUCUCCUGUUAAUUUUCUCUUGGAGGUGCACAGUUCCUUAAGGACUUUAGCAUAUCGAGGUAUUUGUUUUAUAGCAUCUAAUAAAUGAAUAUUUACCUCAACCUUGCGAAAUGUCUCAAGGAUGUCUUUCUCUUGUUCCUCCUUCUUGGAUUUUGCAAACCGGCUUGGAAAAGGAGGAGGUAUCACAAUAGGUAGGGGUUUAGCUCUGGUGGGUUCCGCAUCAUGAGAUUGAGGCAUCAAUUCAUUCUUCUCAAGUUCAUCUUCUACAUGCUUUGUCACUUUCUUACUAGGCUCUUGCAACUCCGUCCCACUUCUAAGGAUGACAGCACUAACGUUUUCCUUUGGAUUCACCUCAGAUUGUGAAGGCAAUCUCCCUAAUACUUGAGACUCCAGACGGCUCACUGUAGUCGCCAAUUGACUCAUUUGGUUCUCCAAGUUCUGAAUGCUUGCUGUAGUUGCCUGUUGAAAUUGUUGAGUGUUAGUUGCAAGUGAUUUAACAAUUUCUUCAAGAGAUAUACCUGACUUGGAGUUUGACUGUGGAGGUGCUGGUUGUCUUGGUGGAUACUGUUGUGGGAAUCCUGACGGCCUAACUCCAUAGCUGAAGUUAGGAUGAUCCUUCCAUCCCGGAUUGUAUGUUUGUGCAUAAGGAUCAUACCUCCUCUGAGGCAUGCUUGGAAAUCCUCCAACUGCAUUGGCUUGUUCAAUGGGUUCUUCUUGAAGUGUAGGACACAUAUCAGUUGAAUGACCCAUAUUGUAACAAAUGCCACAAGUCUUCACCUGUUGCACAUUGCCUACAACAAACUUUUCCACAAGAGAAGUAAGUUUAUCUAAACGUUGUUCAACAGAAGAAAUAUUUACCUCAUUCACCUUCCUUGAAGUAGGAUCUUGCCUGCUGCCAAAUUGUUGUGCGUUGGCAGCCAUAUUUGAUAUCAACUCCCUUGCUUGAGUAGGGGUCUUGUUCACUAACACGCCUCCACUAGCAGCAUCUAUCAUACUCCUAUCCAUCAAUGACAAUCCUUCGUAAAAAUACUGAAUAAGAAGUUGAUCAGAAAUCUGAUGCUGAGGACAGCUAGCACACAAUUGUUUGAAUCGCUCCCAAUACUCAUACAAAGUCUCCCCAGGAAGUUGUCUGAUCCCACAAAUGUCUUUUCGGAUGUUGGCAGCUCUUGAAGCAGGAAAGUAUUUCUCGAGGAACUGCUUCUUCAAACCAUUCCACGUUGUAAUCGAUCCAGGAGGCAAGUAAUACAACCAGUCUUUAGCUAGCCCAUCUACAGAGAACGGAAAAGCACGCAGCUUAAUCUGCUCUUCAGUCACGCCUUGUGGUCUCAUACUUGAACACACAACAUGAAACUCCUUAAGAUGUUUAUGAGGAUCUUCACCUGCAAAACCAUGAAACUUGGGUAAUAAAUGAAUAAGACCAGACUUUAAUUCAAAAUUUACCUCCAAGUCUGCAUAUUGAAUGCAGAGUGGUUGUUGAUUCAAGUCAGGUUCAGCUAACUCUCUAAGAGUUCUUUCUACAAGUGCAGCUCUAUCCAUCACUUGUUCUUCUGAAUCGCUAGAUGAUUCAACUAAAUCAGGCACCGUAUCUGUUUCAGAAAGCAAAGGCGACGAGGAUCGUUGCUUAGCUCGCUUUGUCUGCUGUCUCAGCUGGCGAGCUGUCUUCUCAAUUUCAGGAUCAAUCGAAAGUGUACCUGUACGAGAAGAACGAACCAUACACCAAGUAAAACGUAAAAAGGAUUAAAUAAAUGACACCAAUCCCCGGCAACGGCGCCAAAAUUUGAUGGGUGUCGAAGCCAACAAAAAUAAAUUCCUACUCUAAAUAAAUUGUGCAUAGUGAUUGAGCAGGGUCGUGUCCACAAAGAUCGGUAAUUAUUUAAAUCCUUUUGAAACGUAAAAUGGGGGAAUUGUUGACAAUAAUAAAAAUCAAAUUAAAUAACAAGAAUGCAAAUUAAAGUUGUAAUUCAAAUUGGAGAAAGCUCUGGUUGAAGGAAUUAACUAAGCUUGAUUCGACUACUGAUCAUUGAUUCAAAUAUAGAUUAUUAUUACUCAUGAAUAGACCGGUUAUAGCUAUUGAGACCCUCUAAUAGCCAAUCUCUCCUUAACUAGUCGAUAACCAAGGUACGACCGUUGGAUAUUUCCCUAAUCAAUAGACAACCCUAGAUACAAUCAUAGGAUUUAAUCAAUUGACAGCCUGAAAAAUCAGAGAGACCCAAAUCCUAAUUAACACAUAUGAUGAUUCAUUUAAAUUAGAUUGUUUAUUCUCACAACACAACUCUCUGCUAUGUUAUUUGUCACAAACAUCAAAUUCUUCAUACGAUGAAUCCUUUAAUUGACAAUAGAUUAAGUUGAUAAUUAAAUAGUGGCCAAUUACCUAAUUAACAAACAUAAUCAUGAAAAUAAUUCAGAGAAUAAACAAAUACCCAAAAAGUAAUAAAACAAUUAAAGCACAAGAAAGAUCUCACAGUAGUGAUGAAUCAAAGCUUCAUUAACCUUCAACCAGAAAAAUGGGUUUAGUUCCUCAUAGAGAGAAGAGAAAAAUUAGAUCUAGGGUUUCUUUUUCUCCAAUCCAAAUCCCCCUUUUUCACAAUAAAUUCUUCCCUUAAAUACUCUCUCUCUCUUCUCUUUUAGAAUUCUAUUUAAAAUAAAAUACUAAUAUCUGAAAUAUUAAAUUCGUAAUUACAAAAAUAACCAAAAAUACAAAACACGUUAAACUAAAAACUGCAGGUCCGCAGUUGACAGCACGCGCCCACGCCUUAUCAACAAAGUUCUUCUGACGCUCAUAAUUUCUCCAAGAGAACAAUCCUCCUUAAACAUCAUCUUUUAGCUCAAUUUUAUCACCAAUCAAUAGAAUUGCACCUACAAAAGUAAAACAUAAGUAAAACAUUAUUAUUAAAUGCAAAACAUCGAUAUUAAGGUAAGUAAAUAAUGCAAAACUAGUGCAUAAAUUGCACUCUAACACAUAGUUAGAUUUACUCUUAUCAACAAAGCCUUCAGGUUGCUGCAUAAACACUUCCUCUGAUAACUCACCAUUCAAGAAUGCAUUGUUGACAUCCACCUGUCUAACUAUCCACUGAUUCAUCACUGCAAGACUAAGAACUACUCUCACUGUUGCUGGCUUUAUCACUGGGCUAAAGGUAUCAAAGUAAUUCACACAUUCAAUCUGUUGAAACCCUUUUGCCACCAAUCGAGCCUUAUACUUAGCUACACUGCCAUCAGUGUUAUACUUUAUUCUAUACACCCACUUAUUCCCAACAACUUUCUAAUUUUCUGUUCUUGGUACUAGAGACCAAGUUCUGUUUUCAAUUAGUGCAUCAUACUCAUUUUUCAUAGCUGUAAACCAAUUUGUGUCUUGCAAAGCUUCACCAACUGAAUCUGGCUCUUUGUGAACGUACACUGCAGUAUACAUUUUUGGCUUAAAAAUACCUGCUUUUCCUCUUGUGGUCAUGGGGUGAUUGUUUUGAACAUGUUGAAUAUUGUUUGAGGUUAUUUGGGACUGAGAUGGUAAUGGAAUUUGAGUAGGAUCUGUAGUGUUUGGUGAGUCUAGAUCAUGAACAGGUUCAAGAGUAGGAUUGAGAUUUGGUGUUUGACAUUGUGUAGCUUCAUUUGCUUGUUGAUGAUCUGCUGAUGAGAACAGUUCUGUGCUGCUGGAACAUGCUGGAGAGUAGGAUUCAAAACUGCUGUUAUAAGGAUUUGACACAACAGGAAGAUUGGAUAAAUGGAAAACUUGAUGAGGGGACAAAGCAGAGCUGGAUAUUGAUUGUGUUUUGUUCUCAGAAUUGAAAGCAGGAUCUGAAGAAAAAGGAAAUGCAUUUUCAUCAAAUAUGACAUGCCUUGCUAUGUAUACACGACCAGAAUGAUGAAGGCAUUUAUAUUCUUUGUGAGCAGAGCUAUAACCAAUGAAUAUGCAUUUACUUGUGUGAAAAUCAAAUUUAUGCUUAUUGUAAUCUCUCAAAUAUGGAUAGCAAGCACAACCAAAACAUUUCAGCAUCUUAUAAUCAGCUUUAUGUUUGAAAAGUUUUUCAUAUGGUGUCAACAUUUUAAGAGCUGAAGUUGGUAACCUAUUGAUAUGAUAAACUGAAGCAUGGAAAGAAUCCCACCAAAAAUGCAAAGGAAGUUUGGCUUGAGCUAACAAUGUAAGACCCAAUUCUACCACUUGUCUAUGUUUUCUCUCAACUAAGCCAUUCUGAUGAUGAGUAUGAGGACAAGAGUGCCUAAAUAAAAUGCCACACUGAUUUAAAAAUUCAGUGAAUGAUCUGUAUUCUCCCCCCCAGUCAGAUUGCAGUAUCUUAAUGGUUGUUUGGAAUUGGUUUUCAACUUGUAACUUGUAUAGCUUAAAAACCUCUAAAGCUUCUGAUUUCAAUUUCAAUGGGUAGAUCCAAGUAUAUCUAGUGAAAUCAUCAACAAAACUAAUAUAAUAUCUAAAACCUUCUCUUGAAAUAACUGGUGAGGGACCCCAAAGAUCAGUGUGUAUGAGCUCAAGAGCUGAUUUGGUUUUGAUUUCUGUAAUUGGGAAAUGCAACUUGUGUAUCUUACCCAACUGACAUGCUUCACAGAAAUGUUGUGUUGCUUGCUUAACCAUAUUCAGAGAAAACUUAUUAGCAUGAUGGAGUUUAAGUAAAUGCAAUAAGCUUUGAGAAUUUGGGUGGCCAAAUCUUCUGUGUAGAAGAGCUAUUUUAUUAGGCUUAUCAGAACAUACAUCAAAACCAUUCUGUAAACAAUUGUUUGAAUUAUUUAUGUACUUUACAGAUGGCAUAUGAGAAGCAAGAUGACAGAAUGAUAACAUUGACAGAGGUUUAUUAGCUUGACUAUGAGACAUAGGAGAAUUCUUGGUAGAAGACAUAGGUUUGACUAGCAGUUUAUACAACCCUUUCUCAGCAAUGCCCUGCAUUAGAACUUGUCCCUUCAGCAAAUCCUUCACAACACAAAAUGAUCCAAGAAAUUCAACAGAAAUGUUAUUGUCAGUGGUAAGUUUUGAAAUGCUUAUUAAGUUCUUGGUGAUAGAGGGAACAAGCAAGAUAUCUUUAAGUGCAAUAUGUAAAUCUGCAGGUUGAGAUUUUGAAUUCUUGAAUGAAAAAUAAGAGUCACCAAUAUGAGUUAUUGACAAACCUUCACCAUUGCCAAUAAUGAGCUUCUCAUUACCUCUAAACUCAUCUCUGAUAUUCAGAUUUCCCAUGCUGUUUGUCAGAUGAUGAGUGGCACUACUGUCCAGGUACCAACCUUCAUCUGCAGGUCCUUCACAAUAUGCAGCAGAAGCAGUUCCAACCCAAGGCAUACCAGAAUUAUCAGAUGCACAAGGAUAUCCAGACUGUGACAUGUGUAAUCCAUUAUUGUUGACAGGCCAUGGAUCAUCAUUUAUUGGAUAGUAAAGUAUGUAUGCAGGUUCAUAGUUAGCUAUGUAGGCAAACUUUGAACCUUUUCCUCUCUGAAAUUGUCUUGGUGACUGAGGUAUGUAAUUUUCUUCAAAUCUAUGCCAGCAUUCAACAGUUGUAUGUCCUACUUUGAAGCAAAUCUGACAUGUAUUCAUAGAAUCAUCACUGUUGGAUACUUGUGACUCAAAAGGGGGUAAAUUUCCAGUACCAUUGAAACCAGUACUGCCAAAAGAGCCUCUUCCAGAAGAACCAAAUCUAUUGCUUCCCAUCAUCAUUUGAUUUCUUCCUUGAUUACCAAAAUGACCAGUUCCAGCAGGAAAACCCCUUGGAUGAGAAUUCAAAAACAUUCCUCUACUAUUAAACAUACAAUUUCUACCACCUGAGUGACCAUUAUAAUUACCCUGGACACCUCCUGUAUAUCCUCCUCUCCUAGUAUGACCUCUUAUUUGAGCAUAGUAUGCAUUCAUCAUACUAUUAUUAUUCCAGUUAGACAUAUUAGCAUAGUUUGCAUUAAUCAUGUGCUUUUCACUUUGAUUUUGUUCAAGCCUAGCCUCAUGAGUAAGUAAUAGGGCAUAAGCAUCAUCAUAAUCCAAUUUUCUUGUUGUGAUAAAGGUAGCUAAAUCCAAAUAGCCAGCUCCUAGACCAUUGAGGAUUUGCUGCAACAUAUCUCUAUCUGAUACAGGACUACCAGCACAUGCUAAUUUGUCUGUAAUUUGUUUCAUUUUUAAGCAAUAUUCUUCAAUACUUAGUGAAUCUUUUCUUAAGACACUCAUCUCAUACUUAAGUUGAAGAACUCUAGCCUCAGAUUGUACACCAAACCUUUUCUCUAGUGUUUUCCAUAUAUCGAAUGAAGUAGUGCAUGAGUGAACUAAACUGAAAAUACCUUCAGUUAUUGAGCUAAGAAGCCAGCUGAGUAAUGUUUGAUCUUGAGAUCUCCAGAUUGUGUAUUCAGGAUUCUCGAUAUGUUGAGAAGAGCUAGCAACUGAAGAUGCUAUGAAUUGGUUUGGUGCAAUCUUUUCUCCAUUAAUGUAUCCUUCAAGUCGAUUUCCUCUAAUGGAGGCCAGGACUUGAUUUUUCUAGAGCAUGUAAUUAGAUCUAUCCAAUUUGAUUGGUGUGAUGAAAGAAAAAGUUGUCUGAUUCGUAGCUACUGUAUUUUGAUUGUUUGUAAUAGCCAUGAUUGGCUCUGAUACCAUGAAGAAAAUUGUAAAACUGAAUAAAUGCUGCUGUUUGGCAGCUGAGAAAAUGCAGAGGAAAAUUCUUUAUUUCAGCAAUGAAUUGAUAUUUUGUACAUACAAACAAUCACGAAACGUGCAGCUAUUUAUACAUGCUACACUUGCUAACUAAUUGCUUACUAACUAAUUAUUAAUAACAAGCUCACUCAGCUAAUCAAAUAACAGAAUACAGAGUAUGCAUUGUGAUGUUAGUUAGGCUGGUAACUGCUGCUGACGUGGACCUUCUGACGUGGCACAAAUGACAGCUGGUAACUUGAUACGCUGACUCUUCUUCCUCACUUCUGCACAAUGAGCUAUCUUCACACAUGAAAAUUUUGAAUUAAUUUCUUGAAAUAGGAUCCUACAAAUGAAGUGUUUUAAUUUCGUAAUUUAUUAUUAUUAUUGUUAUUUUGUUUUUAAAUAUUAAAAAAAUUGAGUUUAUAAUACCUUAAGCAAAUCCCACAUUGACAAAGUACGAGAGAGAUGCUGAGUUUAUAAGGAGUAAUCUACACCUUAAGACGUAUUUUGGGGUGUAUGGGCGCCCUAGAACAAACUCAUGCGGGCCUUGUUAAGAGCCAAAGCGUAUGUAACAUCCUAGACAAAUCCCUCAUCGGCAAAUCACGAGAGAAAUAUUGGGUUUAUAAGAGGUGAUCCACACCUUAAGACGCGUUUUAGGAUAUAUAAGUGCCUUAAAAAUAAAUAUGUGCGGACCUUCUUAAGGACUAAAACGGAUAAUAUAUUAUCACACCUUAAGACGCAUUUUAAGAUAUAUAAGUGCCCCAAAAAUAAAUAUGUGCGGACCUUAUUAAGGACUAAAACGGAUAAUAUAUUAUCAAAUCUAAGUUAGAUCAUGACGGAAUUCGUUUUAGUUUCUAACGGACAUCCGAUUCAUCGUAAUACAAGUGCCCUUGUCCAUGUAUUAAUUGCAUUUGCCUAUGAAUUCUUCAAUAAUUGAAAAAGAUGGGUGCUUGUGGGACACUCUCCAUUUAUGAUUACAAUUUAGGAAUAAGAACUUAAUGACGCAACCAUCACUGACAGCCUCUUUUUUGGAGGUACUCGGAUGGCUAUUAUUGCCAUUUAAAAGAUAACAUAAAUUUUGUAGAUUGCCAGCUAUGGCCGAGCUUUUUUUUUUUUUGAAGAAAAAUAGCCAUUUAAAAGAUAACAUAAAUUUUGUAGAUAGCUAGUUAUGUUCGAGUUUUCAAUUAUUUUUGAAAAAAAAAUACUUAUGUCUUUUAGAUUUAGAAAAAUGAUCACAUAAAUUCUCAAAAUUUUAAUAAGAUAAAUCCAGACCUUUUUUAUUAUAAUAUUUUUUAAUUCUAUAACUAAAACAAAUUGAUUAUAAUAUUUUAUAAUAAAAAAAUAUAAGUGUAAUGACCCGCUCCGAAUCCUUAGGACGAGUUUAUCUAAUCUCACCAACCGAAUUAAUAAUAAUCUAAUAUCUAAAUUAUUUGGCAGUCUCCUAUAUAAUUAUGAUAUUCUCAAACCCGUAAUUUUUAAAAUUUAACACUCCCCAAAAAUGAUACAAUAUUCAAUCAACCUCCACAAUUAACUUUUUCAAUCAAAUACCAGUAUCCUUUAAAUAUAUAAUAUUAAGAAUACAAUAAUUUAUCUUUAAUUAUAAAUAAAUAAUAAAUUAUACAAUUCAAAAUAUCCCAACAAAACAUCUAUGAUUCCUAAUAUUAUACCAUAAUUCUAAAUUUAACUAUUGUUUCUGUGUCGAUUGAUGUAUCUCCAAAUCUAAUGUGGGGGAGGGGGUAAUAUAAAAAAAAAAAAGGAAUGAGUAUAAAACUCACUCAAUUAAAAACUCUAUAACAUAAUACUGUUUUUAGUUUUAAUAAUAUACAAAUUCAAUUAAAAACUAAAAUAAAGCAUUUAAAAGGGAAAAAAAGAACGUUUUUGAAAUUAAAUACAAAUAUUCCAAUUGUUACUGUGAAAAUGUGAUAUUUUCAGCACUAGAGCCACCACUUUAUUGCUUAUCGGAUACGAAAGGAACUGAUGUGGUCCAAUUGUGUUCCGAUCGGAUUGGUUGCCGUCAUAAUCUGAUCACAUUUAGAUAACUUUUCAGUUUUGUCCAGGAGAAAGGCUGUCCAUUAUGUCUCCCUAAGAAAGACGUCACAUAGAUGAUGUAAUCAGAUUUUAUCAUGCGUUUGUUCCUCUUCAAUCGAGAACUUGUCACAUCCUGCCUGUAAUUUUUUUUUUUUUAAUAAGCUGUAAUAUGUAUUUGAGUGUCUGUGAAUCUAAAAUUUUUUUUAGGUUAGUGUUACGUUACGUUUAACUUAACGGGAUACUUUUUUUUAAAGACUUGUUAAAAUUAAUCACAUAAUUAAAGUUAUAAUAAUUUUUUUUAUCUAUUGUAUACGGUUGAGAUUUGUGCUCCCGUAAAUCAACUUCUAUGUAGUUAUUGUCUUAUUUUUAAGGGAAUAAUAUAAAUAGAAACUAAUACAAAGCUACAGUUACUAUUUGAACAAAAUUAACAUGAAUUAAAAAAAAGGGCAGCUGCAACUAAUAUCAUUAAAUCAAAGGAUUGAAGUACUAACUAGAGAUUUUAAACAAAACUGUUUGGCUUAAAAUUAUGGGAAUUUGAGAUUACACUUACAGUUUUCAUUUUUAUUCUAUUUUUAUUUUUUUGAAGAGAAGAAAGAAAAAAGAUCAGCUAUAUGAUUAAUGAAAGAGCACAUGGUUAUGCAUGGAAGGCGGGAGGUGGGGGGGGGGGGGGGUGAUGAGUAAUUGGAGUGAGUUAUGUAACGGACCACCGGAGCAUUGAUCGGCGUGUAUUGUAUUAAACUGCGAACGGGUAUGAAACAAUCUUAGAGUGCAAAUAAGAGAAUAGAAAUUGUCAUAGUACAUGAACAUUUGUUGGUUCGAAGGAGCAACAAUUAGGAAUGGCUAUUUAUUUAAAAUAUGAAGUGGAAAAUUGAAUUAAUUUAUUUGAAAUAGAAAUUGUCACAAGAAAAUUUUGAAUUAAUUUCUUGAAAUAGGAUUCUACAAAUGAAGUGUUUUAAUUUUGUAAUUUAUUAUUAUUAUUGUUAUUUUGUUUUUAAAUAUUAAAAAAUAUUGAUUUUGUAACACCUUAGCCAAAUCCCACAUCGACAAAGUACGAGAGAAAUUCUGAGUUUAUAAGGAGUGAUCUACACCUUAAAACGUAUUUUGGAGUGUAUGGUCGUCCCGGAAACAAACUCAUGCGGGCUUUAUUAAGAGCCAAAGCGGGCAAUAUCUUGUAAGGUCUAGGUUGAAUUAUGACAUUAUGGUAUCAGAGUGGCUCUGCGUGUCCUCAUGAGUGAUGGUGGGGCAAACUUCAACGAGGACGCUGAGUCCCUAGGGAGAGUGUAUGUAACACCCUAGGCAAAUUCCUUAUCGACAAAACACGAGAGAGAUACUUGGUUUAUAAGAGAUGAUCCACACCUUAAAAUACGUUUUAUGGUGAAUGGGCGCCCCAUAAAUAAAUUUAUGCGGGUCUUAUUAAGGAUUAAAGCGGACAAUAUCCUAUUAAGUUUAGGUUAGAUCAUGACAGAAUUCCUUUUAGUUUCGAGCGGACAUCCGAUUCAUCAUAAUAAUCGUACCCUUGUCCAUGAAUUAUAAAUAGUCUAUAAUAAAAAAGAAGUGAGUAUAGUAGUUUUUGAAAAAAAUAAAUUUACUUAAAAUAAUCUAAUUUUUCCCAUAUUAAUUUCAUCAAAAUAUCAUAAGGACUUCUAGUAACUUUUCAGUUUUGUCCAGGAGAAAGGCUGUCAAUUAUGUCUCCGUAAGAAAGACGUCACAUAGAUGAUGUAAUCAGAUUUUAUAAUGCGUUUGUUCCCCUUCAAACGUCACAUAGAUGAUGUAAUCAGAUUUUAUAAGCCUCUUGUUCCUCUUCAAUCGAGUACUUGUCACAUCCUGAGUGUUUGUGAAUCUACAUUAUUUUUUAAAGAUCUGUUUAUGUUAGAAUCGCUCUAAGAUAGAAUACUCCUUCGUAAUUACAUUAUUAAAAAAUAUAGAUUAAUUUCAGAUUUAAAACAAAUGAAGCCUUUGUUUUUAUUUGCAAGACUUUUAUAAUACAUUAAUAUGUAACGCUUCAAAUUUCACGGCGGAUUAGAUACAAAUUUUUUAUCCUUAUACUAAACAUGUGUAGAGUAGUAAGAAACAAGUUAAAAAAUAAUAAAAACACACACUUUGAUGUUGUUAUUUUUAUCUUAAAGUAUUAAAAUUUAUAUUUCUUUUAAUCUUUUAACUUGUCUUUUACGAUAUUAAAAUAAGAAAAUCCUUACUAAAAGUAAAAGGGGACUUGCAUGUCAUGUGCACAGUGUACAAUAUGUUUCAAAUGUUACUUGAUAGAAAUUACUGAAAGCAUUGUAUCAUUGGAAAACUCUUGCUGCAUGCUACUAAUUUGACAGUUUAUCAAAUAUUUUUUUGCUGCUCGCUACUUAUGAAUCACGUUUAGUCCCCUUUGAAUUGUGUGCAUCCACCAUCUGUUAAAUUUAUCUUUGAAUUUUCUCGCUUCCAUAAGGGACACAAAUAAGAAACAGACAAGGACGUUCAAAUCCCCGAGUUGUAAAAUUUACAAGAUGCAUCGGGUAGAAAAAUCUUGUAGAAACCUCAGCUGAUGAACUCUGUAAAGAAUAUCCUCAUUCAUUCAGCUAACCCGUUGAACCAAAAUGCAAAAUCAUCCUCAAUAAGUACAAGAAACAAAAACUUUACAAGAAUAACUUAUGAAACUUGAUAAAUUUCUGCGGAGACUACAACGUCAUUUCAAUUUGUGAGGUAAUUAUUUGAUGCCAUGAUGCUGACUGAAUCUCAUUAAAUUAAUGAAAAUAAUACAACAAAUGGUACGAUAACUCCAAAUCAGCUAUCACAUUAUGUUUUUUUUUUUUAUAAGUAUCACAUUAUGUAUUUGAUUCAAAUAAGAGAACAAAAUUUGCAUUAUUGAUAGAUAUUAUAUUGUUUCUUGAAACUAUCCCUUGACAAAUCGCCCAUUAAUGCAGUCAUUGCUGACAAAACAACUUUGUGAAAAAGUUCACCAAGAUAGCAAGCUGAUAGAGAAAUCUGACAAUGCAAUGCAUGCCAUCCUCACACUUCAAUUUCAUCGAAAAUGGAUAAGCCAUUUUGUUCAACUUUCACCUCCGGAAGUUGAAAAGGACAUGAAUGCAAUUAUGCAAGUCCUUAUCAAAGAUGCAAUGAAUGACGCCUAAACUCCUAUAGAGUAGAGUUAAGCUAUUAAUCACUGCACCGAUACAUCAAAAAUUAAGUAUAUGGAUCAAAGACAUCUUCAUUCAAGAGUCGAGAAAUUUCAAAGCAAAGGGACCAAAGAUGGUGGUGCCAUUUUGUUCAACUUUCACCUCCGGAAGUUGAAAAGGACAUGAAUGCAAUUAUGCAAGUCCGUAUCAAAGAUGCAAUGAAUAACGCCUAAACUCCUAUAGAGUAGAGUUAAGCUACUCAUGUCUAAUUUUAGAGGUUUGAUAUGGAUAUGGAUUUUUGUUUAUAUUGAUAUUGAUACGCAUAGAUAUUCGGGAAAAAAAAUUCUACUUAACACUAUAACGAAUAGGAUACUUCUUUUAUUAGAGCGUUGUCAUGCUGACGAUAUGCAAGAUAUCAUAAAUAAAGGGGAUCGUAGGGAACGAAAUGAAAUAAGUUUAAAGAAUUUGAAAGAAACUGAUUAUUCUCUUAUUCAACAACUCGGUGUGCAAUUACAUUUUACACGAGGUCCAUGUAAUUAUAUUUGUCAUUAAGAAUGAGCGUUUGCCAAAAGAAGAGACACAUGUCAUGACAAUGAGUGAUUGACAAGUGACAAAAUUGAUAGACACCGGCCGAAUAUGUCAUAACACAAACUUCUGAAAUUGCUACAGGAAAUGAAAUAUAAUGAUGCACGAUGCCCAUCCAAGUUGUUUACUUGUAUUGUCCAACUGUAAAUGAGUACAGACAUGCUACCAUCAAUCGUUGUUAUUAGACUAGUCACCCACCACCUCGCAAAUCGCAGAUAGCAUUAGCAAGUCCUCAGUAAUUCUUACUGCCUGAAACAACAUGGCUGGAGCAGAGAUUUUUCUAUCAAAGCGUGUCCAGGACAUGGUCCUCAAUGGUGAAGAACCGCCAGCACCAAAUAUUUGUAGAGAUGGUGAUUCAAUUCAAGAGGUUUCUGCUCAUUAUCUCCGGUUCCGAUCAUUGACCUCAGUCUGCUCUCAUCUUCAACACCAUACGCCAAGCAAGAAGAAGAACUGCAGAAAUUAAGAUCAUUGACCUCAAUCUCAUCUUUAACACCAUACUCCGGUUCCGAUCAUUGAUCAUUGACCUCAGUCACUCCUUCAUGACCACAUAAUAAGGAGUGGCUAUUUAUUUAAAAUAUGAAGUGGAAAAUUGAAUUAAUUUAUUUGAAAUAGAAAUGGUCACAUGAAAAAUUUGAAUUAAUUUCUUGAAACAGGAUCCUACAAAUGAAGUGUUUUAAUUUCGUAAUUUAUUAUUAUUAUUGUUAUUUUGUUUGUAAAUAUUAAAAGAAAAAAAGAAAAAAUUGGGUUGUCUUUAGUUUCUAGCGGACAUCAGAUUCAUCAUAAUAAGCGUACCCUUGUCCAUGUAUAAAUUGCAUUUGCCUCUGAAUUCUUCAAUAAUUGAAAAAGAUGGGUGCUCGUGGGACACUCUCAUUUAAAAGAUAACAUAAAUUUUGUAGAUUGCCAGCUAUGGCCGAGCUUUUAAAUUUUAAAUUUUUUUUUUUAGAGAAGAAGAAAAAUAGCCAUUCAAAAGAUAACAUAAAUUUUCUAGAUAGCUAGUUAUGUUUGAGUUUUCAAUUUUUUUUUAGAAAAAAGAUACUUAUGUCUUUGAAAUUUAGAAAAACAAUCACACAAAUUCUCAAAUUUUUAAUAAGAUAAAUCAAGACCUCGUUUUAUUAUAAUAUCUUUUAAUUCUAUAACUAAAAAAAUUGACUAUAAUAUUUUAUAAUAAAAAAAUAACUGAAAUGACCCGCCCCGAAUCCCCGGACGAGUCUAUCUAAUAUCGCCAAUCGAAUUAAUAAUAAUCUAAUAUUUAGAAUUUUACCAAAAAUUCGGCGAGUCUCCUAUAUAAUUAUAACAUUCCCAAACCUGCAAUUUAUAAAAUUUAACACUCCUAAAAAAUGAUACAAUAUUCAAUCAACCUCCACAACCAACUUCUUCAAUCAAAUACCAAUAUCCUUCAAACAUAUAAUGUCAAGAAUACAAUAAUUUAUCUUUAAUCACAAAUAAGUAAUAAAUUAUACAAUUCAAAAUAUCCCAACAAAACAUCUAUGAUUCCUAACAUCAUCACAUGACCAUAAUUCUAAAUUUAACUAUUGUUGUUGGGUCGACUAAUGUACCUACAUAUCUCUUGUGGAGGGGGGGUAUAUAAUAAAAAAAAGAUGAGUAUAAAAUUCAGUGAGCUGAGUUGAGUAUAGUAUGAAAAAAAUAAAUUACUUAAAAUAAUAUAAUCUUUCCCAAAUCAAUAUCAUCAAAAUAUCAUAAGAACUUAAAUAAACUUAUUUAAUUUAAAUCAUGUUUUGAUAUAACAAUAAUACAUAAUACGGCAUGAAAUCAAGGAAAACAUGAUACUUAUAAUAGCAAACACCAAAUACCGAAUCUAUCACCAAACAAGUACCCAGGAAAAUAUCUCAUCAUAUCCAGACCUCGACGGAUCUGCAAUCAGGGAACCAUCAUGGCCCGAAGCUACACGGAUAGACAAGGAAGUACUAUCUCAUAUCUCAUCAUAUUUGUGCAUGCAUAAUCUAGUCCCCAAAGGACAAGGCGCCCAAGAACACGGUCCAAAGCUUCUGUGUGUACUCAAAGGGGCCCCAAAGACCUAUAUUUCAUCCGUAUCAUCAUAUAUCAUAUGUAUCAUCUGUAUCUCAAUAUAUGUAUCUCUGUAAUCAUCAUACACAUAUGCCCUUAAAAGGCAAAAACACCCAAACACACGGCCCAAAACCUUUAUAUGUGUUCAAGCGGGCCCCAAAGGCCUCUCAUCUCAUAUGUAUCACUGUAUCUAGAGGGAAAGGGUAUUGUCUAAUGAUUUUAAAAACAACAUCUUAUACACAUAUAAAUAAACAUAAAAUGACACUUAAAUCUCAUUUCUUUUUCAUGUAACAUACUUUAAAUCUACUUUAUUCUCUUUAAAACCAUUACCAUGCAUUUACUCAAAAAUGAUAAUAAAAUCAUUAAUCAAACUCAUUUUUUAUAAUAAUAAAUAUCAGCAUGUAGACAAAAAUCCAUUUUCUAGAAAGUUAUUAAAUUCGAGUAUUAAAUACUUAUUUAUCAAACAUGUUGUACUGUAUCGUAAAAUCAUAAUAUAUUAUGAAAAUAUGUUUUGUAUAUUCCACUCACAGUGACGAUGUUCGAGCUCGGUAUCGUCAACGUCUGUGGGUUGAUUCUCAUUCAUGGAUCCUCCUAAUAUAAGGAAAUAACAUAAUCCCUCCUAAUAUAAGGAAAUAACAUAAUCAUUCUCCAUAAAUAUGAAAUACAACUAAUUUUAUGCAAUAAAUCUCGAAACGAAUAUAUAUCCGUAAUAAACUAUUCCCGUAUGCAUCAAAUUACCAAAAUACCCCCUGCAUGCUAAAAUUACCAAAAUCCUCCCGAUAUCAAUAUUUACCAAAUUAUCCUCAUAAUCCUAAAUUACCAAGCUGACGUCAAUUCAGAUCACAAUGUUAGAAAUUACGAAAUUACCCUUAGAGUAUAAAAUUACCAAAAUGCCCUUAAUAACAUAAAUGACUGAAUUACCCUCGAAAUCUCAAAUUACCUAACUGCCCUAGUCCAAAAUUACUAAAAUAUCCACCAAUUUUACUCUUUUGAAUAACUAGAGAGUUUCCAUUAUCAGCAUAUGUAACUUCUCCAUCUUCAACAUCCUUUUCGACACUAGGAUUCUCAUGAUCUUCCGCAUUCUCGUCAUCGCUUUCCUCUUCAACAAGGGCAACCACCCUACGAUUAGGACACUCAGAAGCAAUGUGCCCAUAACCAAGCCAUUUAAAACAUUGACGAGAACUAGCAUUCGAACCACUUGCUCGCUGUUUAGAUCCUUCCCCGAUAUCAUUCCUAGUAAUUUUCUUUGCAGUCGAAUUUGAACCAGAAUUAUGCUUAGAAACGGAGUCACUCCCUCGAUUGACAUCACAAACUGUGAACCAAAUACCCCCACCACGAGCAUCCUUUUGUUGCUUUUCCACCUUAAGAGCAAGCCUGCAUACAUCACUAUAAGUCCAAUAUGGUUGGAGCUGGACCACAUUACCAAUCUCAGGUUUUAAACCACCCAGAUAGCGUGCGAUCGUAUGCUCUUCCGCCUCUACCAAAUCACACUUCAUCAUUAGGUUGUCGAACUCUGCUGUAUAGUCUUCCACUGACAAUUCCUUUUGCUUGAAGUUGUGGAACUUAAGGUAGAUAUCUUGCCUGUAGUUAUCGGGCAAAAACUUUCUCUUAAGCUCUUUUUUCAUUUUCUCCCAAGUAACAAUUUUCCUCCGUCCCUCUCGUUCCCUUUGCCUCUUAAGAUUUUCCCACCAUAAAGAAGCAUACUUUUUAAGUUUAAUGGCAAUGAGUUUCACUUUGCGAUCUUCAGGCACAUCUCUGUAUUCAAAAAUGCGUUCAACAGUAUCAAGCCAAUCAACAAACUCUUCUGGUUGCAUUCUUCCUUCAAAUUCAGGAAUUUCGACCUUGAAGUCGAAAGGCUGAUAAAAAUCGCGACGCCUAUGAAUUCGAGAACGAGAAGAGAAUUCACUAUUGGAGCUUUGUUCUUGAUGGAAGGGAUUAUAAUCUACCCCGUCAUUGAUUGAGCCUUCUUCUUCCGAACUACCAUUAGGAGCAGCUUCUCGAGUUCCUUCAAGGUGUUGUAAUCGUUGCUGAAGCUAUUCUACUUGUCUUCUAAGAUCAUCCCUUUCUAUAUCACCCAAGUCCCUCUCACGAACAGGAGGCUCUUCAACUCUUGCAUUACGCCGACGUCGUUGGGCCAUAAAUUUUCAGAACCCAAUGCUCUGAUACCAAAUUUGACACCGGACACAAUAGAUGAGAAAACACAAUGUCACACACCCAAGAAAUCACAAGCUCACCACCACAGCAAACAACAAAAGGAUACAGAAAAAUUCACCACCUAAAGUUGUUAAGCUAAGGAUACAGGGCUUGAAAAUACUCACCACUCAAUGGAAUCCACCAAAGAGAUACAGAGUUUGAUAAUAACUCAAAGUUCAUCUAAUUCCCAAAAUUAAUCUCCGUCCUUUGGUUACAACUACAUAAGCUUAAAUAGCUUUCUUGGAACAAUCCUCCAAGCAUAGAUUUACUACAAAGAAACCCUUCAAAUAAAUUGACUUUAAAGACCAACAUUAAAGCUAGACAUUAAUAAAACAUUGGUAUGCUUAAAACAUAACAAAGAACAUUAAAAAAAAAAAAUCCAAGUCCCGAAAUAUUCUUCUUGACUCAAAACUGAACAGUCUUCACUUAACUGAUCAUAACUUACUGUAUAAAACUCCAAAUUUAGAUUAGUAAAAUUCAUUGGAAAGCUAACAGAAAUAUCUUUCCAAUGAUGUAUGGCUCGAAAAUUAAUUCGAUCUCAUGCAGUACAGUUUAAUUCCCAAAGAUGCCCCUUCUGCACAGAAAUUCUGCUUACUUGAUUAAUGUAAGAACUUGAGCUGCACUUGGUAUAACUUGAUUACCAAAUAUUUCAAACACUCCUGUGUUAUAUAAUGAUGCUCUUGAGUCUGGUAUUGUGGAGGUGACGAAUUUUCCAAAGAAAUUGUUACAUUGUUUACAAUGGGGCUUGCAAAAUCUCAGGUUUGAGCAUAAUCCAAACUUUCUCUUUGUGAUGUUAUGGUUGAAAAGAAAAAAGAAUGAAACAAUAUUGGUUGAAAAAAAUAAAAUACUUUGGUCACUCUUAGACACUAUUUUACCACUAAGGUCCCUGGUAAAAUUUUAAUAUCUUAUUUCAUACUAGUAUUGGUAUAAAAGUAUAGAAAAAAACACAUUGUUGAAAGUUAAACGUCACAUUUUAACAAAUAGAUUAAAUAACUUUAAUUUGCAUUGAUCUAAAAUAAUCAUGUUUUAUGUGAAAAUGUACAUGGAAUAUUUAUUCUGGUAUUGUUUUCAGGGAGCAAAGUAUUACAUAUUCCCCUUUCGAGAAAACUGCCGAUUCUUUCGCAUAGGAGAGUGACUUUAUUCUUUUGUGUAUAUCAUUUCAAAUAAUGCAUAUAGAUUGAACCCUUUGCAGUGCUUUUGGUCAGAACCUCCAAACAAGCACCGAUAUCUGGGAAAACGUUUUUGCAAUUUGCAUGACGAACCUUGGUGUGGUGCUGUUUGUCUUUUUAAUUGGGAAGAUGCAGGUUCGUAUACAUUUUCUAUUUCUUAUAUCUGAAUUAACCUCAAUUCCAAAUGUUAUAAUUAAUAUUGAAGUACAUUUGAAAUUAAUGGAUUGUAACUGCAGUCGGACACAGCAAGAUCACAUAAGAUAAAAAAGAAGUGGAAGGAGAUAAAGCAGUGGCCGAAUUUUGGGGAAAUUUUUUCUGAUGUAAAAGAGCAGAUGAGGACAUACAAGCGAGAGAAAUGGGAAGAAACCAAGCGUGUUGAUGUUGAUAAUUUGGUGAAUGAUCUUCCCCACGAACUUGGCAUCAAAAUAAAGCGCAGACUCUGCAUUAAACUAAUCAAGAAUGUGAGUUCCUAUUACUACUUGUUUAUCCAGUAAUAAGUCACUUCUUUUUGUUAAACAAAAAAAAAAAAGGUUAGGCAAAGUACAAAGAGAACUGCUGAAAUUACCACUCAGCCAAAGCUCUAGGAGCAACAAUUACAACGAGUUCAUUGCCACAAAAUUGCCACUCCUUGUUUAUUACAAGAAAUUGAAACAACAUUUGUUAUAUUCCGGUACCCUUAUUAAUCGUUUGAAUGCAUCUAGUGUAAUUCUCAUUUUUUGGUCUGUACCUAUCUAUGUAUACAGGUAAAAGAGUUCGAAAAUUGGAGCGAAAAAUCAAUGGGGUAUCUGUGUGAAUUUCUGAAGCCAGUCCUUUUUAUUGAGCGUACACGCAUUAUUCGGGAGGGAGACCCAAUUGAUGAGAUGCUAUUUGUGCUGAAAGGCAAUCUCUGGACUUACACUUCCAGGAAUGUAGCAACAACUAGCAGCAAUAGUAGUCGUUGUAGAGAGAAUCGUUUGAAAGAUGGUGACUUUUUUGGAGAAGAACUUAUUGCUUGGGCUCAGAAUGAGCACCCUUCCAAUUUGCCUAUCUCAGCCAGAACUAUUCAAGCGCUUAGCGAGGUUGAAGCCUUUGUUCUUAUGGCAGAUGACUUGAAACAUGUAUUAUCACUCAGACAUUGUGACCGGGCAGCUCUUUUGUUACAAUCACGCUGGCGUUUCAGAAAGCUUUUGCGUGAUAGGAGGGCUAAGCAAAAAUCAAUCUUGAGAAAAGUGCGGAAUUGGGCAGUAGAACUACUGACUGUAGAAUAACAAUUUGAGACUGGAUUUGAAAUUAUUAUUUGUAUGAAUACUACAAAAAUGAAAAUAGGUGGUAAAAGCUGAAAAAUUAAGGGGAAAAUUGUCAAUCUCCCCGGUUUGAUUAUGCAGUCAACAAGAUCAGAGACAUUAAUCGCCAAGUUCGAUUUGGAAAUUUUAUCCAACCAAUGGUACCUUUUUUUUUUUUUUCCCUGAAUCAAGGACUUCACGCUUCGUUGAUGAGGAUACCAUUCCUAAAAUUAAAAGAUAUUGAUCACUACUAUCUCAAACAACAAUUAAUUAUACAUUGGCAGCACGCAAAAAUGAGCGACAAACUUCUUCAUUAACUAAUCUAUAUGAACAACUGCAUUUCUAAGCAUAUAUAUGAUCAUUGCAGAUGAAAAUAGUUUAAAGUGGCGAUAGAAGAACCGAUAGAUCACAGUUGAGAGAGUGAAGCAGAUCAUCAGGGGGCAAUCCUAAGUGUGUCACGUGGGUAGAGUGAUGUUUUGCGAAUGUUGUUGAGAUCGCAGAAAAUCAUCACCACACUCUCCAAUCCCACUUCAAAUCCACUAUGUCUCGAAAGGAAUCCAAUGAUAACAUAAUGCUAACAGUUUUUAGAGGACCAAACUAUUUUUCUAUUUGCGUACAAAUGGACAGCGGUUUCAGAAUAACCUUAGGAUUGCCAAGUUUAACCAGAGAGCAUGGAAAAACCUAAGCCAGAUCAAAAUUCAAUACCACUAUGGAGGAUGUGCAUGGAUUAAUGUUAAAUACUAUAUUCAAUUUGAACGAUAAACACAGUAAAAAUAAAAAUUAUUAGAUUCCAUCUUCUAUCCUAUAAUUUUUAAUUCUUGUACUUCUUUUUCUGGGAAUCAGAUUUUUCUUAUACAGAACGUGAACCAACAAAAGACAAAUUUUGUGGUAUUUGAUAAAAGCAACUUCCAAAAUAUACCAUAACCACACCCAAUUAUUUUUUGUAUAAUAUCUAAGCUUUUAUAGACAUAGAUCGAGCCGUUAUGCUCUCAGCAUAAUAGGCUUGCGGCACUUGAUCAAAUGAGAAAAAUCCGGGUAACAAUACCUGAAAGAUUCAAAGAUAUUUUCUUUACAUCAAUGCCACCUGCCUGUGCACGCUCCACCAAGAACCCUGGCAUAUCAAUACGUUGAGCACCUGAAAUUAUCUCUUCACCUAAAGAGGAGGAACAGAUGCUCAAAAAUCCGGUCAAAUGAACAAUCACAUGAUAUUUUCAUCCAACAAGUAUGAAGGGUUGCAAUGAAAAGAAAAAUGAAACCCGACAGAAAAUUCUUCAACACAAGGAUUUUAAAUGUGGUUAUCAUUAUUAUUAAGCAGUCAACCUAAUACAACCUUCAACCAGAGGUGAAUUCAUUUAUGCCAGUCACAUGACCACUCCUAUCAACACCACUGAAAAAAAAGCGCAUCCUCUUUAUUUAUAAAUGAAGUUUUGUUCCUGCUUUAUUUCACCAUUCAUUUUCAUCUCAUACAAGACCAAUUUAUUGGAAUACAACAUACCUCGAUUAAACUGAAAGAGGAUUAAGAAAAUUUAAAAAAUGAAAACUUCGAGACAAUACGAGUAGUAUCAUGAUAAACUUAACUCUAGAUGGACAGCCAUUUUUUAAUCGUAAGUAAUGAAACAAAUGUAGAUCGAGAUUUCCGGAAAACAACACCACAAAUACAAGUAUAUGUGCAUCCAAAAUGAAGAAGAAAUGUUUCAGCCUCACACAUUACCUCGAAUAAAGACAUCAAAUUAGUUUCUGUGAAGAGCAUUGUCAGAAGGGGGCGCCUAACAGCCCAAGGAUAACGAUGGAGUAUAUAAAAUUCGGCAUUGAUGAUAUACAUAGAAAUUUAAGCUUAAAAAUGAGAAAACACUUAUCAUGAGCUAAGAGCAAUGAGGCUCUUAAUUUUUUCAAAAUUUGAAACUAAUAAUAGAUGUAUGUUAUACAAACAAAUUCAGACUUCAAUAUUUGUAAGAAAAAUCAAGUCAGUAAAUAUGCAACCUACUUAUCUCUGUUCCAUAGGUUGGUUGUCUUUUUUUUUUUUUUUUUAAUGUUCAGAAUCGAUUAAAAAUUAUUUUAAUUCGAGUUCUUUCUAAUUUGAUUUUUUGAUUCCAUUGUGAAAUUCAAUUUUCUUAUUUAAUUUUAUUCCGAUCCUAUCUACCCAUUCGAAUUUUGGUUGCUUAAUUGUUCAGAAUGUUGGAGUUGAGAUUGAUCCUCUUGAAGACUUUAAUACUGAGGCAGAGAGGAAGUUGAUCCAACUAUUUUCCUACGAUUCUUGGGAACAGGAGAUACUACUUUUAAAGCAUCCAAUCUACUAAAUGAUUCCAGGCUUCCAGCACGCUAGUGUUAUCCUUAAAAAUCAUCUAAUUAUUUAUUCAUACACUAAUCUAAAUAAUGGCGUGAUAAAUCAGAAACCUUUCUUCAUGAAACAUGAACUGAGGGGAUGAAAGAAAUUAAGUUAUCUUGAGCAUUUGAAUCCCUUUUUCAAAUCUAAGACGAAGAGUCAACAUUUAGAAAAUGACACAAUCAGGUUCAAGAAUAGAGAAAAGCUGAGGUGAUAUAUAAUUUUCCAUAUUCCAAAUAUAUCUAAACUAUACAAGCACUUCAAAAAUGAUAAUGAUAACAGAAUUUUAAGAACAAAUCAAAAUAAAUAAUGACCUUCAGAGGUUCAAACGGACACUGACUCGCCACAGCUUCAACUUCCUUUUUGCACCUCUCAUUCAAACCAUCAAAAAUUGUGACAAAUAAGGGGUCCACAAUAUCCAUCACCUGUAUUCAGGUGUCAUUGAAAAAUCAACCAAUAAAACCCUCCGGCUAUACCACCAAAUAAUGCUUCUUAAUCUCCAUUUCAACAUCAAGACCGGUAAAUUAACGCACACAAAUGCCUAUGAGUGUACGAGUCCUCUGGUCUAAAAACAGAACCGGUCUCAAAAACCCGCCCAAAAUCACCUCAUACCGACAUUUGCUUGUGACCUUCACUUGAGCCAGCUAUCAGUUUUGGCAUGUGGAUCUCAACAAAAUCCUCAGAAAACAAGAAUUGUCUGAAUAUCUUUACAUUGAUGCAAUCAUUUAAGGACCAGAAUCAUCAGCUCAGAAAUACAAGACAAAGUUAUACAUCUUCAAACCAAACGCAAUGAAAACUAAGUUUAACUUCUCCAGCAUGCAAUUAGAUUCAAGGAAACUCCAGGUUACCUUUGCCAUCUCACUACAAAUAAAAAUUCUAAUUAUUAGAUUAACCAGGAUGCUGAAUGCAGUGUGUUAGGUGUUCGAGAAAAUGCCAAGGUACACCAUCAGCUAGAAUCGAAGCAUCCAGCAGGGCAAUGACAUGUCACAAAGUCAGAGAUGUUGCUGAGUCAUUGUGAUGAUUCAGCAGGUCUCUGAAGAACAAUCUAGAUAGUUAAGUGCCAAGGAUGAGGCAUGGCAUAAGACAAAUAUCCGCUGACACAGUGCAAGGACAUUCGAUACAACCAGUAGAUUCAAGUGAUAUCAGCCGUUAGAUCAUUAGCGACAGCUGUAACUGUACCGAGAAAAGCUUGUAAAGCACGCAUGCAAUUUUCGUUUAUUGUGACAUCAAAUCAAUAACAAGUAUGCGGUGCCAAGUUUCAAAUUUAUUGUUAAUUCUAUAUCAAUAGCUUUAGUUCUUAUUUAUUUUCUCUCUAAUAAAUGGGUACCACAAAGGCACAAACCUUCGGAGGAGAAGCUGAAUGAAUGAUAAUAUAAGCAUCCAUAACCAAGGAAGUAAAAAUUUACAUUCCUAACUUGACUCUCAAUACUGAAAAUAUGAUAUCUGUACGAGUAUUUUAUUCUCAGUUCUGAGUAUAUAAUUAAGGAUUACUUCCGAAUCCGGACAAAAAUGGAAAAGGAUUAUGCAUUUGUUGAAAGAAGCUGCUUUGCAGGAAACAUCUGCUCACGGAUCCCUGAAUUCCCAUUAUUUUUCAAUUUGUUUCCAUUUAAUUUUCAAUCUCGACUAAGUCUAAAGACUUUGGAUGACUAUGAUUGCACCAAGUCAAAGUCUUUGUGGCGUAAAGUCAACCAUUAAGAGAAAGUCUCUGGGGUGCUGCCGCAACAUAAAAAUUUAGAACCCCAACUCAAGGCCUUACUCAUAUUCCAAUCCAAGCUGGUUAAUGGGUUAAGGUUACUUAAACAUUUUAUAUUUUUGUCUAUUCUUAGAUAAUGUUGAAUAUUAUAUAUAUACGAAAAUUUGUGUCUAUUCUUAGACAAAUUCUUGGCGGGAAUUUAACAAACUUCAAGUCUAAUAACACUUUGCAUAACAGCAUGACAGCUUGGCAGUUGACUAAGCACUCUGCUUACAUGGCAAUCUGACUCAGCAGUUUACAUAGCAAUUUGGCUCAACAUAUAUACUCUUAACAGAACCAAAUAAAUAUUAACACGCGUCUCGGCGCAUACCUUGCAUAUCAUCACAUUUAUAUAUGUACGAUGAUAUCACCGCCACCUAAAUUUCUCAUUUAUUAUAUUUGAUUAUUUUCUUUUUUAUUUCAUUGAUUUUCUCGUAUAAAAGUAGAUUUACUACGAUUUACCAUUUUGUUGUUGUGCAAUGGUCACCCUUUUUGUUUGAGCUGCCUAUUGAUGUAUUGCUUUUAGAAAAACUCUCAGAAUAGCUUUACAUUAUACUUUUCUAAUUUGCAAUGAAUGCAUCCAGGAGUAUAGGAAAGAAAGAAAUAAAGGGGGGAAAAAAAAAGGAAAGAAAGAAAUACUCCCCGUGUAUCACCUAAACUAGUUUUAAAACUUCUUGAAUUGGACAAGAAUAAGUUGGCUGACAAGCUUUCCUAACUUCUCACAACUUUUAUUAUUGUUACCUUAUAUUUUCAUAAUCGUUAGAUUUUUAUACUUGAAUUGGUACCAAUCUCUCUUUUAUCAAAUUUAAACAGAGAUAAUUGAUUGAAUGACUCAGUCACCUUCGUCCAAAGGAAUUUUUCUUAUCUACAACGUUCUUAUUUGCUCAAACAGAUGGAAUCCAGAAAACUCAUUCAUUUGAUUCUCUUCAAUUGAAAACUCAUCACUUCCUGCAUGUAAGAGCAAUUUGAGUGCCAUAAAGCCUGUAGUGAAUCUACGUAUUUAGGGAAUAAUUUAAAUAGAAAAGUUAACAUGAAGCUCAUACCCUAAUAAAAAGCUACUCUUAAAAUAACAUGAAUCAAGAAACAGAGCAAAACAGAGUAGCUACUAAGAAGAACACCCAAAUUAACUCCUAAAAUUGACCAAACAUAACAAGCAUCAAAUCAAAGCAUUAAAGCACUAAUCAGAGACUUUACACUAAAUUGUUUGUUUUAAAAUAAUGGGAUUUCAAGAUUAUACUUAAAAAGACCUCUUUUUUUUUCUUUUUUUUUUGGGAAGAGAAAAAUCAUCUGCAUGGUUGAAGGAUCAGAAGCUCAUGGAUGGAACCAAUUUGCUUCAUUAAACCCAAAACGGUGUUUCCCGAAGUCGUUUCACCAUGCAAUACCAUCCAGUACGCAUCAAACGGCCGCAACUCAUGUCGUUUAGCUUAAGUGUCUUAAGCCCAAAAGGCGACACUCGAUGUCGUUUUGCUUAUUUCUGAUUUGCUUCACCCGUCACACAACAUGCAGUGUAGAUGAUGUUUUAACUUUUGAAUUUUAUAUGAUUUUAUUUUGUCUUCUUAAAAGAUAUCUUUUAGAACUGAAGGGCACUUUCGAUGUUUCUUAUUUAUUUUACAGUGACCUCUUCUGGCUCUUUCUGCUGAGGGAGGGUACAAACAAUGAAUCAUCAUCAGAUUAAUCAAAAUAUAACCCCACUCAUAAAAUAAAAAUUAUAAAACGUCUCUUCAGAUGAUUUGAGUCACACACAUCAACAAUCAGAAAUCGUUAACUAAGUAUACAAUUUCUUUUUGGACUCGUUUUUUCCCCAUUGUUGAUCAUGUAAGUUACUGCUAUAUAUGUUGUUUUGAUGAGUAAUUAAUGAUCAUGGAAUUUACUUAAUUUGUCAACUUAAAUCAAUCAUUUAAACUUUUCCGUAACAAAACCCUGAAUUUAUAUUUUGAUCAGGAAUCAGGAUUCGCAAUUACAGGAAGGUGCAGCAGGGCAAGUUCCUGGAGAACGAAUUAGCAGUGUUUAUGGAACUUUCUCCCUAAUAUUGGCUACAUUUUACUAUUUUUAGCAAUCGUCCUUAUAAGUGCAUUGAAAUGGACAAAAUUUUGGGAAACAAUGCAGUUUUUUUUCGUUCUGUGUUUGAUUUGCUCAAGAUACUUAAUUCAUUUUACCUUUGAGUUGCGUAAUUAUCAAUUUCGUUUUGAAGGAAGGAAAAGUUUGCGGCGCUAGCUGCUCUUCUACAUUGACAUUUUGGCCGCUGAUCUUCCCCUCCCUCAGGUAAGUCACAUCACGUAUUAUUAAUUUUAUCUUAAACCUUUAUAGUUUAUCGAACUGAAUGUGGUUAUUUAAUUACUUUGAUUUUCUCACACUUGAUUAUUCCAGGUGCUGGUGAUCUCUCAAAGAAUGAGAGGCACAGAGUUUUUGUAUGCAAUGAUAUUCUCACUUCUUCUUUUUUUUUAUAUUAAUCACGAGGUAUCCUGGGGAGGGCCCCAACUGUGGGAGGCACCUUUAAGCCCGUACCACAACCCAGACUAGAAGUCCCCGCUCGAACCGGGAGGCACAGGUUCUCCCAACAAAGGCGACUUCCCUGCGACUCGAACUGGGGAGCAAACCCAGUCAAGACACUUAAGGGGACUCCAUUACUAGUGGAGCCAACACUUUGUUGGUAUGAUAUUCUCACUUCUUAAUAUUUGCUAAGGGUUAUUCGAGCAUACAGCGUGUUUUCGGAGGCAACAUUGGGCUCAGAAAUACUCGCUGAAGCUACAUGGGCCAUUAUUGGCUUCAAUAUUCUUCUGUACAAGAAAGGAGGUCAUGUAAGUUGAUAAAGCACCAUUCAUGUAAGUCCAUUUAUAUUGACUUAUAUGCACAAGCCUAUAAUACAAACAGCAUUAUUGUAAUACAAAUUUGUUUAGAAAUCCAUGGCCUAUAAUACACCAUUUAUGUCCUAGACUUACUUGUCAACCUUGCAAAAUUUUUGUGCUUGGCAACUGGUUUUGUUGAUGUCGUAAUCUGGAUGAGUUGGUUAGUGACUCGAUCUUAGAUCCCUACAUCAGCAUUAAAUUUGUUUGGUGGGAAGCUGCUAGUUGAUCUCCAAGAAGAUCCUCCGACUAUGAGCAGAACAUUCAUGAGUUGUUGAUCAGUGAGCACCGAGAGCAAAUAAUUGAUGAGCAGACGACCAAUGAGCAGAUGAUCCAUGAGUAGAUAAUCCGCGAGCCUGCGAGCACAAAGAACAGUCAGGGGGGGCGGAAGAUUUCCAACGUAAACCCUCCGACACUCAAGUCAGCGAUUUGGGUCUACUUGGAAAAACUCAUACCACAAUUCACAUGGUUUAACUAUGAUUGUUUUAAACAAAAAGCUUUUAAGUAAAUUUAAAAGAAAAUAAUUGAAAAUAAUUAAUCUUAAAGAAAUCAUAAGCAAAAGAGAAAUUUCCUAAUGGUAGAGAGAGAAAAAGAUUCAAUGGAUUCAAUCACCCAAAGGGAUAGAGGAAAAGAAUCCCCCAUUUUCCCAGGAUUUUUAUAGGAAAUUAUAGCAGUUUUUUCUACAGAGGAUGUAAGUGAGGAAUUUAUGAAACUUUUUGAUAAAAAGAAUUAUCUAGGAUAAGCAAUUGAGCAGAAUUCUUUUACAGUGCAUUUUUGCAAUUCACAUAACCAACGUAGGGGUGGUGCUGUUUGUGUUUUUAAUCGGCAAUAUGCAGUUUGACACAGCAAGAUCACAGAAGAUAAGACAGAAGUGGAAGGAGAUGAAGCAAUGGCCAAAUUUUGAGUAUAUUUCUUCUGAUGUGCGGGGGGCAGUUAAGGAAAUACAAGCUAUACAAAUGGCAAGAAACCAAACGUGUUCGUGUUGAUAAUUUGGUGAAUGAUCUUCCUGACGAACUUGGCAACAAAAUAAAAUGUCUGCAUUAAACUGCUCAAGAAUGUGACGUUGAACUAUUCAAUCACUCAGUGACGUUGAAGCCUUUACUCUUAUGGCUGAUGACUUUAAACAUGUAUUAUCUACCAUUCACACAUUUCGAUCCGGCCGCUCUUUUGUUACAAUCAUACCGGCGUUUUGGGAAGCUUUUACUUGAUAGAAGGAAGGCUAAACAAAGAAAAUAAACAAAGUGGGACAUGUAACAACGACACAAUACAAGAAAAUUUAACGGUACUUGUGACUAAAUCAUUGAUGACAAACUGUUUAUUCUUUAUAUUUACAUGUGAAACCGCAGAAAAGGGCCAAAAUUGUAGUUUGAAAUUUUACAUUUGAUUUUGUCGUCAAUUGAUGAGCUCAUAGCGACAUUAAUUUAUUGAAUGAUAAAAUAAUAAUUUUAUAUUCAGUAAACAUAUGAAAUAUGACUUAAAUUGAAAAUUUGAGAUCUUAAUACAUUGGAGUUACAUUGAGUUGGGAGACGAACUUUGACUCUGAAUGAGACAGCACUUAAUGUGUCAUUUAUUUAUUAAAUUUGUUAAUGGUAUGAUAUUAUCUCAUUACGACAGAAAUAUUAAAUUGCAAUGAGUCUAGUCAAUUGGGAAAACAAUUUGUGCGCGAGUAUUCUCAAUUUCCAAUAUAAAAAUUACAAGACAAAAUUAAAAAGGAGAAUGAUACUUUAUAUCUGUUUAGAAGCCAUUAGUUAUUUGGUCAUAUUCAAAAUUUGUUUUAACCACAUAAGUCCAUGAUAAGGGUUUGCCUACCUUACGUUUAACGUAAGGUGCAUCUCUUCCCAUUGCUGUAGAGAAGACUGUACCUUACGUUAAACAUAAGGUAGCAGCUCCCCAUAAUAAAAGUUAUAAGACAAAAUUAAAAAGGAGAAUGAUACUUUAUACUUGUUUAGAAGCCAUUGGAUGUUUUGGUCAUAUUCAAAACCUGUUUUAACCACGUAAGUUCAUGACAAAAGUUACAAGACAAAAUUAAAAAGGAGAAUGAUACUUUAUACCUGUUUAGAAGCCAUUGGAUAUUUUGGUCAUAUUCAAAACAUGUUUUAACCGCGUACGUAAGUCCAUGAUAAAAGUUUAAAAUACCUUUUGUGGAAAGGAUAAGUAUGAUAUUUUUAAUAAAUAAAUAAAUAAAUAGAUCUAUUAAGUAAAUAUAUAUUUUUUUGAUACAUUGAUAUAUUACAAUUUUGAUAUUUAUAAUUAGAAAUCCAUCGGAACUUAUCUUGAAUAAUCUUAUUACAGCACAACUCGAAUAUCAAUCCUCACUAAAUUAGAGAAAUAUUUACCUUCACUAUUAAUUUAUACUCGGAGGCAAGUCCUAGCGCUGACCCUGCGCUGGGACUUGAAUCCAUGCCCUCAAGGUUGUUGAGGGCAUAGGCGUGCCAAUGGAUUACAGGCCCAUUGGCUAGAUUUAUUUAAUAAAUAGAUUAGGUGGAUAAUUUAGUGAGUUCAAAUAAUUUCGAUUAAUGUAUACCCGAAGAGUGAAGCUAUUGGCACCCUUCAUUAUAAAACUCCACUUUAAAUAAAAUUACAUUUAAGGACAAAUAAGAUUUAAACACACUUAAAAAUUUUCGCAACAAAUUACUUUCAUAAUCAAAUUUUUUUUUUGCAUUCAUAAUCAAUUCAUUUUUUCUUUUUAUUUUUUACUUGUCACUUCUCUCUAAUUAAAAUAAAUUACAAAAAUUUAGAAUAAUUUAUUUUUCUUUUCUUAUUUCUUAAUAAUAGAGAAUUUUUAUACCUAAUACUUUCAAAUUAUAAUUUAAAAUGUGUCAUAUCUAUAACAUAAUACUGUUAUGAGUUUUAAUAAUAUACAAAUUCAAUUAAAAACUAAAAUAAUGCAUUUAAAAGGGAAAAAAAGGACGUUUUUGAAAUUAAAUACAAAUAUUCCAAUUGUUACUGUGAAAAUGUGAUAUUUUCAGCACUAGAGCUACCACUUUAUUGCUUAUCGGAUCCGAAAGGAACUGAUGUGGUCCAAUCGUGUUCGGAUCGGAUUGGUUGCCGUCAUAAUCUGAUCACAUUUAGGUAACUUUUCAGUUUUGUCGAGGAGAAAGGCUGUCAAUUAUGUCUACCUAAGAAAGACGUCACAUAGAUGAUGUAAUCAGAUUUUAUCAUGCGUUUGUUCCUCUUCAAUCGAGAACUUGUCACAUCCUGCCUGUAAAAGUUUUUUUUUUUUUUUGAUAAGCUGUAAAAUGUGUUUCAGUGUUUGUGAAUCUACAAUUAUUUUUUAAGGGCUUAUUGGAACCGCUGAACCACAAGUUACAAUAAUUUUUUAUUAUUUAUUGUGUGUGGUUGAAAUUUAUAUUUCACCGUAAAUUAAUUUUUAUAUAGUUAUUGUCUUAUUUUUAAGGGAGUAAUAUAAAUAGAAACUAAUGCAAAGCUACAUUUACUAUUUGAACAAAAUUAACAUGAAUUAAAAAAAAGGGGCAGCUGCAACUAAUAUCAUUAAAUCAAAGGAUUGAAUUACUAACUAGAGAUUUUAAACAAAACUGUUUGGUUUAAAAUUAUGGGAAUUUGAGAUUACACUUACAGUUUUCAUUUUUAUUUUAUUUUUAUUUUUUUGAAGAGAAGAAAGAAAAAAGAUCAGCUAUAUGAUUAAUGAAAGAGCACAUGGUUAUGCCUGGAAGAAGGGAGGUGGGGGGUGAAGAGUAAUUGGAGUCAGUUAUGUCAGGGCCGACUCAAUUAUAUUUAGGGUUUUAAGCAAAUAGUUUUAAUUAGUUCUUCUUGAAAUUUAGGAUAAAAAAUAUAUAUAUUAGUUAUAUAUUAUUUAUUGAAUAUCAUUUCUUUAAACACUCUAAAAUGUAAAAUUAUUAAAUAAAAUUAUAUUCUACUAUUGCUAAUUCAUGGAAUUUUAAUUCAAUUAUAACAUUUUCACUUAUUGUUUUUUAACUCAAAUCACAUCUUUUUUACUACUCCUUUUCUAGAUUAAACUAAUUUUUCUAUUCUUCUAUUUUCUAAAGUUUUUUGAUAUAAUUUUAUUUCAAAAUAGAUAAAACAAGCACAAAAAAAAAAAUAGUAGAUGAAUAAAAUAAUAUAUUAAAAAGAAAUAAGAAUAAAUAAAUAACACAACUAAUUAAAAGAAUGAUAAAAGGAUAAAAUCAGGAAUUUGAGAUGAAAUCAUAAAUUAACUUUAUCUUUAUAUUAAUUGUUUGAGAAAUUGAGUAAUGACCAAUAACCAUAGAGAAUAGAGAAAACUAUUAGAUUUUUUUUUUCUUGAGUGGAAAGUAGAGGAAGCAAGAUUUUUUUCCCUCUCUCUUUCUUUCUCUCAAAUACCAAGAACAUAUCUUGUCUUGAUUGUUGGAAGAAAAAUUUAAUGGAUAAGUGAUAAAAUGUGGGGCUUUUAUAGAGGUUUAAAAUGAAUAUAACACUUUUUAAUUAUAACAUAUUAAUUCUAACAAUAAAAUAGAGAAUUUGUAGGAUUGAAACUAUUAAUUUAUCGGUUUUGUAGGAAUUAAAACUAUUAAGUACUAUAUUAAAUAAACUUUAUAAGAAUUUGAUAUUUUAUUUAGAAAAAGAUCAUUAUAAAAUAAUAAUAAAUUAAAUGAAUAAGAAUGACUUUUAAAUUCAUUUUUCCCUUUUACAUACAAAAUAAUCAUCUCAUGAGGUCUUCAUGUAAAGUGGGGCCCUAAGCAACCACCUAAAUUGCCUAGAGGUCGAGCCACUAUUGAGUUAUGUAACGAACCGCCGGAGCAUUGAUCGGCGUGUAUUAUAUCAAACUGCUAACAUGUAUGAAACAGUCUUAGAGUGCAAAUAAGAGAAUAGAAAUGGUCAUAAUACAGGAACAUUUGUUGGUUCGAAGGAGCAACAAUUAGGAAUGGCUAUUUAUUUAAAAUAUGAAGUGGAAAAUUGAAUUAACUUAUUUGAAAUAGAAAUGGUCACAUGAAAAUUUUGAAUUAAUUUAUUGAAAUAGGAUCCUACAAAUGAAGUGUUUUAAUUUCGUAAUUUAUUAUUAUUAUUGUUAUUUUGUUUUUAAAUAUUAAAAAAAUUAAGUUUAUAAUACUCUAAGCAAAUUCCACAUUGACAAAGUACGAGAGAGAUGUUGAGUUUAUAAGGAGUGAUUUACACCUUAAGACGUAUUUUGGAGUGUAUGGGCGCCCCGGAAACAAACUCAUGCGGGCCUUGUUAAGAGCCAAAGCGAAUGUAACACCCUAGGCAAAUCCCUCAUCGGUAAAGUAUGAGAGAAAUACUGAAUUUAUAAGGGGUGAUUCACACCUUAAGAAGCAUUUUAGGAUAUAUGAGUAUCCCAAAAAUAAAUCUAUGCGGGCCUUAUUAAGGAUUAAAACGGACAAUAUAUUAUCAAAUCUAAGUUAGAUCACGACGGAAUUCGUUUUAGUUUCUAGCGGACAUCCGAUUCAUCGUAAUAAACGUGCCCUUGUCCAUAUAUAAAUUGCAUUUGCCUAUGAAUUCUUCAAUAAUUGAAAAAGAUGGGUGCUUGUGGGACACUCAUUUAUGAUACAAUUUAGGAAUAAGAACUUAGUGACGCAACCAUUACUAACAGCCUCUUUUUUGGAGGUACUCGGAUGGCUAUUAUUGCCAUUUAAAAGAUAACAUAAAUUUUGUAGAUUGCCAGCUAUGGCCGAGCUUUUUUUUUUUUUUUUUGAGAAAAGAAGAAAAAUAGCCAUUUGAAAGAUAACAUAAAUUUUGUAGAUAGCUAGUUAUGUUUGAGUUUUCAAUUUUUUUUGAGAAAAAAAGAUACUUAUGUCUUUGAGAUUUAGAAAAAUGAUCACAUAAAUUCUCAAAUUUUUAAUAAGAUAAAUCCAGACCUCUUUUUAUUAUAAUAUUUUUUAAUUCUAUAACUAAAAAAAAAUUGACUAUAAUAUUUUAUAAUAAAAAAAUAUAAGUGUAAUGAUCCGCCCCGAAUCUCUAGGACGAGUUUAUAUAAUCUCGCCAACCGAAUUAAUAAUAAUCUAAUAUCUAGAAUUCUACCAAAAAUUUGGCAGUCUCCUAUAUAAUUAUGAUAUUCUCAAACCUGCAAUUUUUUAAAUUUAACACUCCUAAAAAAUGAUAAAAUAUUCAAUCAACCUCCACAACUAACUUUCUCAUUCAAAUACCAGUAUCCUUUAAAUAUAUAAUGUCAAGAAUAUAAUAAUUUAUCUUUAAUCACAAAUAAGUAAUAAAUUAUACAAUUCAAAAUAUCCCAACAAAACAUCUAUGAUUCCUAACAUCAUCACGUGGCCAUAAUUCUAAAUUUAAUUAUAGUUGCUGGAUCGAUUGAUGUACCUCCAAAUCUAAUGUGGGAGAGGGGGGAAUAUAAAAAAAAAGGAAUGAGUAUAAAACUCACUCAAUUAAAAACUCUAUAACAUAAUACUAUUUUUAGUUUUAAUAAUAUACAAAUUCAAUUAAAAACUAAAAUAAUGCAUUUAAAAGGGGAAAAAAGGACGUUUUUGAAAUUAAAUAUAAAUAUUCCAAUUGUUACUGUGAAAAUGUGAUAUUUUCAGCACGAGGGCUGCCACUUUAUUGCUUAUCCGAUCGGAAAGGAGCUAAUGUGGUCCAACCGUGUUCGGGUCGGAUUGGUUGCCGUCGUAAUCCGAUCAGAUUUAGGUAACUUUUCAGUUUUGUCGAGGAGAAAGGCUGUCAAUUAUGUCUCCCUAAGAAAGACGUCACAUGGAUGAUGUAAUCAGAUUUUAUCAUGCGUUUGUUCCUCUUCAAUCGAGAACUUGUCACAUCCUGCCUGUAAAGUUUUUUUUUUUUUUUUUUUUGAUAAGCUGUAAUAUGUAUUUGACUGUUUGUGAAUCUACAAUUUUUUUUAAGGACUUGUUAGAACCGUUGAAUCACAUAAUUAAAGUUAUAAUAAUUUUUUUAUUAUUUAUUGUAUACGGUUGAGAUUUGUGCUCCCGUAAAUCAACUUCUAUGUAGUUAUUGUCUUAUUUUUAAGGGAAUAAUAUAAAUAGAAGGGUAAUGUUAAGUUACAUGCAUGUACCUUACAUCCCUCUCACAUGAAUAGUGUAUGAAUACUAUUCAUGUGAGAGGGAUGUAAGGUACAUGCAUGUAACUUAGAGGGAUCCUAAAUAGAAACUAAUACAAAGCUACAGUUACUAUUUGAACAAAAUUAACAUGAAUUAAAAAAAAGGGCAGCUGCAACUAAUAUCAUUAAAUCAAAGGAUUGAAGUACUAACUAGAGAUUUUAAACAAAACUGUUUGGCUUAAAAUUAUGGGAAUUUGAGAUUACACUUACAGUUUUCAUUUUUAUUUUUUUUGAAGAGAAGAAAGAAAAAAGAUCAGCUAUAUGAUUAAUGAAAGAGCACAUGGUUAUGCAUGGAAGGCGGGAGGUGGGGGGGGGGGGGGGGGUGAUGAGUAAUUGGAGUGAGUUAUGUAACGGACCACCGGAGCAUUGAUCGGCGUGUAUUGUAUUAAACUGCGAACGGGUAUGAAACAAUCUUAGAGUGCAAAUAAGAGAAUAGAAAUGGUCAUAGUACAGGAACAUUUGUUGGUUCGAAGGAGCAACAAUUAGGAAUGGCUAUUUAUUUAAAAUAUGAAGUGGAAAAUUGAAUUAAUUUAUUUGAAAUAGAAAUUGUCACAAGAAAAUUUUGAAUUAAUUUCUUGAAAUAGGAUCCUACAAAUGAAGUGUUUUAAUUUUGUAAUUUAUUAUUAUUAUUGUUAUUUUGUUUUUAAAUAUUUAAAAAAAUUGAGUUUGUAACACCUUAGCCAAAUCCCACAUCGACAAAGUACGAAAGAAAUUCUGAGUUUAUAAGGAGUGAUUUACACCUUAAGACGCAUUUUGGAGUGUAUGGGCGUCCCAGAAACAAACUCAUGCGGGCUUUAUUAAGAGCCAAAGCGGACAAUAUCUUGUAAGGUCUAAGUUGAGUUAUGACAUUAUGGUAUCAGAGCGGCUCCGCGUGUCCUCAUGAGUGAUGGUGGGGCAAACUUCAACGAGGACGCUAAGUCCCUAGGGAGAGUGUAUGUAACACCCUAGGCAAAUUCCUUAUCGACAAAACACGAGAAAGAUACUGGGUUUAUAAGAGAUGAUCCACACCUUAAAAUGUGUUUUAUGGUGAAUGGGCGCCUCAUAAAUAAAUUUAUACGGGUCUUAUUAAGGAUUAAAGCAAACAAUAUCCUAUUAAGUUUAGGUUAGAUCAUGACAGAAUUCCUUUUAGUUUCUAGCGGACAUCCGAUUCAUCAUAAUAAUCGUACCCUUGUCUAUGAAUUAUAAAUAGUCUAUAAUAAAAAAAAAGUGAGUAUAGUAGUUUUUGAAAAAAAUAAAUUUACUUAAAAUAAUCUAAUUUUUCCCAUAUUAAUUUCAUCAAAAUAUCAUAAGGACUUCUAGUAACUUUUCAGUUUUGUCCAGGAGAAAGGCUGUCAAUUAUGUCUCCGUAAGAAAGACGUCACAUAGAUGAUGUAAUCAGAUUUUAUAAUGCGUUUGUUCCCCUUCAAACGUCACAUAGAUGAUGUAAUCAGAUUUAUCAGGCGUUUGUUCCACUUCAAUCGAGUACUUGUCACAUCCUGAGUGUCUGUGAAUCUACAUUAUUUUUUAAAGAUCCGUUUAUGUUGCAAUCGCUCUAAGAUAGAAUACUCCUUCAUAACUACAUAAUUAAAAAAUAUAGAUUAAUUUCAGAUUUAAAACAAAUGAAGUCUUUGUUUUUAUUUGCAAGACUUUUAUAACACAUUAAUAUGUAACGCUUCAAAUUUCACCGGCGGAUUGGAUACAAAUUUUUUAUCCUUAUACUAAACAUGUGUAGAGUAGUAAGAAACAAGUUAAAAAAUAAUAAAAACACACACUUUGAUGUUGUUAUUUUUAUCUUAAAGUAUUAAAAUUUAUAUUUCUUUUAAUCUUUUAACUUGUCUUUUACGAUAUUAAAAUAAGAAAAUCCUUUGAAAAUAAGAAAAUCCUUACUAAAAGUAAAAGGGGACUUGCAUGUCAUGUGCACAGUGUACAAUAUGUUUCAAAUGUUACUUGAUAGAAAUUACUGAAAGCAUUGUAUCAUUGGAAAACUCUUGCUGCAUGCUACUAAUUUGACAGUUUAUCAAAUAUUUUUUUGCUGCUCGCUACUUAUGAAUCACGUUUAGUCCCCUUUGAAUUGUGUGCAUCCACCAUCUGUUAAAUUUAUCUUUGAAUUUUCUCGCUUCCAUAAGGGACACAAAUAAGAAACAGACAAGGACGUUCAAAUCCCCGAGUUGUAAAAUUUACAAGAUGCAUCGGGUAGAAAAAUCUUGUAGAAACCUCAGCUGAUGAACUCUGUAAAGAAUAUCCUCAUUCAUUCAGCUAACCCGUUGAACCAAAAUGCAAAAUCAUCCUCAAUAAGUACAAGAAACAAAAACUUUACAAGAAUAACUUAUGAAACUUGAUCAAUUUCUGCGGAGACUACAACGUCAUUUCAAUUUGUGAGGUAAUUGCCAUGAUGCUGACUGAAUCUCAUUAAAUUAAUGAAAAUAAUACAACAAAUGGUACGAUAACUCCAAAUCAGCUAUCACAUUAUUAUUUUUAUUUUUAUAAGUAUCACAUUAUGUAUUUGAUUCAAAUAAGAGAACAAAAUUUGCAUUAUUGAUAGAUAUUAUAUUGUUUCUUGAAACUGUCUCUUGACAAAUCGCCCAUUAAUGCAGUCAUUGCUGACAAAACAACUUCGUGAAAAAGUUCACCAAGAUAGCAAGCUGAUAGAGAAAUCAGACAAUGCAAAGCAUGUCAUCCUCACACUUCAAUUUCAGCGAAAAUGGAUAAGCCAUUUUGUUCAACUUUCACCUCCGGAAGUUGAAAAGGACCGGAAGUUGAAAAGGACAUGAAUGCAAUUAUGCAAGUUCUUAUCAAAGAUGCAAUGAAUGACGCCUAAAAUAGGGAUAGCAAUGGCGAGGGGAGGGGAGGGGACGCACUUAUUUAUGAUGUUCUUUAUAUAUCUGUCUCCUCCUCGUCCCUAUUAGAAUGGUUUGAGGGGAUUUUUGUUUCCUCCCUGAAUAAUAAGAGGGGAUUCCUAAGGGAUCUCCGAUCCCUGAAUAACUGAUACAUUUUUUAUUUCUGAACUUAAUUUAAUAAUAUUAAAAUAAAAUUUUAAACAAAGGUAAUGUUUGAUAAUAUAUCUUAGAUUAACAUUAAUUCAAUACAAAAAUUACACUACAAAAUACAAAUAAUUAGAAUAAUUAUCUUCCUCAACCUUUAUAAUCCUAUAACAAAAAGAAAUUACUCUUAUAUUAAUAAUGAAAUAAAUGAAAUGGGUAUAGAUAUUGAAAUUAAUAUCUAUAUCUAUAUCUAUAUAUAUAUAUAAAGCUAGGACUUGAGGAGGUGAUGUGGCAUCACCAUUUUGCUUCUUUGUAUAUUCUCUAUUAUCUAAUAAAUAGAGAUUUUUUUUUAGAUUUGACUUUUCAUCUCCUUAUAAUUAAUUUGAUUGUAUUUAACACAUUUAAUAAAUAGUAACUUUAUUAAUAUAUAUCAUUCAUCAUCUUUUUAUAUUUUCUUUUAUCUAAAAUAUCUAAAAUAUUGGUGGAUAUUCUUUGUACUUUUUUUUCUCUUUCUAUUUAAAUUCAACAAUAUGUAAUCAUUAAUAAUAAUUAAUUAUAAGUCUUUUGAAACAUUUAUUUAUUUUAUUAUGCUGGCAAUUAAACUUUAGUAGAUUAAAAUACAUGAAUUAAUUAACAUAGGAAGAGAGGUUCUUUCAUUUUCCCUCAACAAUGCCACUAAGGCCUAAUUUUAAUGCCAUAAUCCCAUAUUUAAUUAUGCAACCUUUUGUUGAGUGUCUUUUGGCUUCUUCAAAAUUUAUUAUACUAUCAAUUAAACUUUAGUGCCUUAAAAUACAUCACCUAAUCUAUCUCUCUCUCUCUCUCUCUCUCUCUCUCUCUCUCUCUCUCUAUAUAUAUAUAUAUAUAUAUAUAUAUAUAUAUAUAUAUAUAUAAAGUUGGGACUACAAGAGGUGAUGUGACAUCACCAUUUCUCAUCAUUUCAUAUUCUCUAUUAUCUAAUAAAUUGGUUGAAAUUAAAAAAUAAUUACAUUACAAAAUAUUAAAAUAGAAAAUAAUUAUUAGAUUAUAAAUGAUUACAUGUCUUUUCCUCUUUCUAUUUAAAUUCAACAAUAUGUAACCAUUAAUAAUAAUUAAUUAUAAGUCUUGAAACAUUCAUUUAUUUUAUUAUGCCAACAAUUAAAUUUUAGUGGAUUAAAAUACAUCAAUUAAUUAAUAUAGGAAGGAAGGUUCCUUCAUCUUCCCUCAACAAUGCCAUUAGAGCCUAAUUUUAAUGUCAUAAUCCCAUAUUUAAUUAUUCAAUCUUUUAACAAUGCCAUUAGAGCCUAAUUUUAAUGUCAUAAUCCCAUAUUUAAUUAUUCAAUCUUUUGUUUAGUGCCUUUUGGCUUCUUCAAACUCCAUAAACAUUAAAUAUUUAAGAUUUGUGGUAUCAUUAUUUCUCAUCUUUUUUUAUUCUCUAUCAUCUAAUAUAUUGGUUGAGAUUAAAAAAUAAUUACAUUACAAAAUAUUAAAAAUCUAUAUCUAUCUAUAUAUAUAUAUAUAUAUAUAUAUAUAUAUAUAUAUAUAUAUAAAGUUGGGACUAGAGGAGGUGAUGUGGCAUCACUAUUUCUCAUCUUCUUGUAUUCUCUAUUAUCUAAUAAAUUGGUUGAUAUUAAAAAAAUAAUUACAUUACAAAAUAUUAAAAAUAAAAAAUAAUUAUUAGAUUAUAAAAGAUUACAUGUCUCUUCCUCUUUCUAUUUAAAUUCAAUAAUAUUUAACCAUUAAUAAUAAUUAAUUAUACAUCUUGAAACAUUUAUUUAUUUUAUUAUGCCAACAAUUAAACUUUAGUGGCUUAAAUAUAUCAAUUAAUUAAUAUAGGAAGGAAUGUUCCUUCAUCUUCCCCCAACAAUGCCAUUAGGGUCUAAUUUUAAUGCUAUAAUCUCAUAUUUAAUUAUGCAACCUUUUGUUUAGUGCCUUUUGGCUUCUUCAAACUCUAUAAAUAUUAAGUAGUUAAGAUUUGUGGCAUUAUUAUUUCUCAUCUUUUUAUAUUCUCUAUUAUCUAAUAUAUUGGUUGAGAUUAAAAAAUAAUUACAUUACAAAAUAUUAAAAAUAGAAAAUAAUUAAUAGAUUACAAAAGAUUACAUGUCCCUUCCUCUUUCUAUUUAAAUUCAACAAUAUGUAACCAUUAAUAAUAAAUUAAUUAUAAGUUUUGAAACAUUCAUUUAUUUUGUUAAGCCAACAACUAAACUUUAGUGGUUUCAAAUACAUCAACUAAUUAAUAUAGGAAGGAAGGUUCAUUCAUCUUCCCUAACCAAUGCCACUAGGACCUAAUUUUAAUGUCAUAAUCCCAUAUUUAAUUAUGCAACCUUUUAUUUAGUGUCUUUUGCCUUCUUCAAACUCUAUAAAUAUUAAGCAUUUAAGAUUUAUUAUGUUUGGGGUUUUUUUUUAUUUAACCAACAUCCUCUUUAGAAAUGUUCUUGUCUUUUUAUUUUUUGACUUAUUUAAAUUUUUAAUAUUGUGUGCUUCAUGGAGUACUCUUUUCUUUAUGAGUUAAACAAUGAUAAAGAUAAUUGGAUGAUAAGGGUUAGGUUUUUUAAGAUGUGAGAGUCUGUUAAUACCAAGAAAAAUAGAGAGUUGAUUAGUAUGAACAUAAUUUUUAUUGAUGAAAAGGUUGUGUACAUUUAACUAUACACAUUAAUAUAUAUUUUUAAUGUUAACAAAAAAAUAAUUAACUUUCAUAAAUAACAUUAGUUUUAUAAGGCUGCGUCAUCUUAAAAAAAAUAAUUAAUAUUUUUUAUCAGUUUCAUCAAGUGCAAAGUAAUAAAAAAAGAUAAUACUAAAUUAUUUUUUUAAAGCCGCACGAAGUGCGGUUCUAUUUCCUAGUAUAUAUAUAAAGCUAGGACUUGAGGAGGUGAUGUGGCAUCACCAUUUUGCUUCUUUGUAUAUUCUCUAUUAUCUAAUAAAUAGAGAUGUUUUUUUUAGAUUUGCUUUUUGAUCUUCUCAUAAUUCAUUUGAUUGUAUUUAACUCAUUUAAUAAAUAGUAACUUUAUUAAUAUAUAUCAUUCCUCAUCUUUUUAUAUUUUCUAUUAUAUAAAAUAUCUAAAAUAUUGGUGGAUAUUCUUUGUACUUUUUUUUCUCUUUCUAUUUAAAUUCAACAAUAUGUAAUCAUUAAUAAUAAUUAAUUAUAAGUCUUUUGAAACAUUUAUUUAUUUUAUUAUGCUAGCAAUUAAACUUUAGUGGCAUAAAAUACAUGAAUUAAUCUAUCUAUCUAUCUAUACAUAUAUAUAAAGUUGGGACUACAAGAGGUGAUGUGGCAUCACCAUUUCUCAUAAUUUCAUAUUGUCUAUUAUUUAAUAAAUUGGUUGAAAUUAAAAAAUAAUUACAUUACAAAAUAUUAAAAUAGAAAAUAAUUAUUAGAUUAUAAAUUAUUACAUGUCUUUUCCUCUUUCUAUUUAAAUUCAACAAUAUGUAACCAUUAAUAAUAAUUAAUUAUAAGUCUUGAAACAUUCAUUUAUUUUAUUAUGCCAACAAUUAAAUUUUAGUGGCUUAAAUAUAUCAAUUAAUUAAUAUAGGAAGGAAGGUUCCUUCAUCUUCCCUCAACAAUGCCAUUAGAGCCUAAUUUUAAUGUCAUAAUCUCAUAUUUAAUUAUUUAAUCUUUUGUUUAGUGCCUUUUGACUUUUUAAAACUCUAUAAAUAUUAAGUAGUUAAGAUUUGUGGCAUCAUUAUUUCUCAUCUUUUUUUAUUCUCUAUUAUCUAAUAUAUUUGUUGAGAUUAAAAAAUAAUUACAUUACAAAAUAUUAAAAAUAGAAAAUAAUUAAUAGAUUACAAAAGAUUACAUGUCUCUUCCUCUUUCUAUUUAAAUUCAACAAUAUGUAACCAUUAAUAUAAAUUAAUUAAAAGUUUUGAAACAUUCAUUUAUUUUAUUAAGCCAACAACUAAAUUUUAGUAGUUUAAAAUACAUCAACUAAUUAAUAUAGGAAGGAAUGUUCCUUCAUCUUCCCUCACCAAUGCCAUUAGGACCUAAUUUUAAUGUCAUAAUCCUAUAUUUAAUUAUGCAACUUUUUAUUUAGUGUCUUUUGGCUUCUUCAAACUCUGUAAAUAUUAAGCAUUUAAGAUUUGUUAUGUUUAAGUUUUUUUUUUAUUAUUUAACGAACAUCCUCUUUAAAAAUGUUAUUGUGUUUUUAUUUUUUGACUUAUUUAAAUUUUUAGUAUUAUGUGCUUCAUUGAGUACUCUUUUCUUCAUGAGUUAAACAAUGAUAAAGAUAGUUGGAUGAUAAAGGUUAGGCUUUGUAAGAUGUGGGAGUCUGUUAAUAUCAAGAAAAAUAGAGAGUUGAUUAGUAUGAACAUGAUUGUUAUUGAUGAAAAGGUUGUGUACACUUAACUAUACACAUUAAUAUAUUUUUUUAAUGUUAACAAAAAAAUAAUAAACUUUCAUAAAUAACAUUAGUUUUCUAAGGCUGCGUCAUCUUAAAAAAAAAAUUCAUAUUUUUUAUCAGUUUCAUCGAAUGCAAAGUAAUAAAAAAAGAUAAUAUUAAAUUCUUUUUUUAAAACCGCACGAAGUGCGGUUCUAUUUCCUAGUAUAUAUAUAAAGCUAGGACUUGAGGAGGUGAUGUGGCAUCACCAUUUUGCUUCUUUGUAUAUUCUCUAUUAUCUAAUAAAUAGAGUUUUUUUUUUAGAUUUGUUUUUUCAUCUUCUCAUAAUUAAUUUGAUUGUAUUUAACUCAUUUAAUAAAUAGUAACUUUAUUAAUAUAUAUCAUUCCUCAUCUUUUUAUAUUUUCUAUUAUAUAAAAUAUCUAAAAUAUUGGUGGAUAUUCUUUGUACUUUUUUUUCUCUUUCUAUUUAAAUUCAAAAAUAUGUAAUCAUUAAUAAUAAUUAAUUAUAAGUCUUUUGAAACAUUUAUUUAUUUUAUUAUGCUAGCAAUUAAACUUUAGUGGCAUAAAAUACAUGAAUUAAUCUAUCUAUCUAUCUAUACAUAUAUAUAAAGUUGGGACUACAAGAGGUGAUGUGGCAUCACCAUUUCUCAUAAUUUCAUAUUGUCUAUUAUUUAAUAAAUUGGUUGAAAUUAAAAAAUAAUUACAUUACAAAAUAUUAAAAUAGAAAAUAAUUAUUAAAUUAUAAACGAUUACAUGUCUUUUCCUCUUUCUAUUUAAAUUCAACAAUAUGUAACCAUUAAUAAUAAUUAAUUAUAAAUCUUGAAACAUUCAUUUAUUUUAUUAUGCCAACAAUUAAAUUUUAGUAGCUUAAAAUACAUCAAUUAAUUAAUAUAGGAAGGAAGGUUCCUUCAUCUUCCCUCAACAAUGCCAUUAGAGCCUAAUUUUAAUGUCAUAAUCUCAUAUUUAAUUAUUCAAUCUUUUGUUUAGUGCCUUUUGGUUUCUUCAAACUUCAUAAACAUUAAAUAUUUAAGAUUUGUGGCAUUAUUAUUCCUCAUCUUUUUUUAUUCUCUAUUAUCUAAUAUAUUGGUUGUGAUUAAAAAAUAAUUACAUUACAAAAUAUUAAAAAUCUAUAUCUAUCUAUAUAUAUAUAAAGUUGGGACUAGAGAAAGUAAUUUGACAUCACUAUUUCUCAUCUUCUUGUAUUCUCUAUUAUCUAAUAAAUUGGUUGAUAUUAAAAAAAUAAUUACAUUACAAAAUAUUAAAAAUAAAAAAUAAUUAUUAGAUUAUAAAAGAAUACAUGUCUCUUCAUCUUUCUAUUUAAAUUCAAUAAUAUGUAACCAUUAAUAAUAAUUCAUUAUAAAUCUUGAAACAUUUAUUUAUUUUAUUAUGCCAACAAUUAAAUUUUAGUGGAUUAAGUAUAUCAAUUAAUUAAUAUAGGAAUGAAUGUUCCUUCAUCUUCCCUCAACAAUGCCAUUAGGGUCUAAUUUUAAUGUUAUAAUCUCAUUUUUAAUUAUGCAACCUUUUGUUUAGUACAUUUUAACUUCUUCAAACUCUAUAAAUAUUAAGUAGUUAAGAUUUGUGGCAUUAUUAUUUCUCAUCUUUUAUAUUUUCUAUUAUCUAAUAUAUUGGUUGAGAUUAAAAAAUAAUUACAUUACAAAAUAUUAAAAAUAUAAAAUAAUUACUAGAUUACAAAAGAUUACAUGUAUCUUCCUCUUUCUAUUUAAAUUCAACAAUAUAUAACCAUUAAUAAUAAAUUAAUUAUAAGUUUUGAAACAUUCAUUUAUUUUAUUAAGCCAACAACUAAACUUUAGUGGUUUAAAAUACAUUAACUAAUUAAUAUAGGAAGGAAUGUUCCUUCAUCUUCCCUCACCAAUACCCUAUGACCUAAUUUUAAUGUCAUAAUCUCAUAUUUAAUUAUGCAACCUUUUAUUUAGUAUCUUUUGGCUUUUUCAAGCUCUAUAAAUAUUAAGCAUUUAAGAUUUGUUAUGUUUGAGUUUUUUUUAUUAUUUAACCAACAUCCUCUUUAGAAAUGUUCUUGUGUUUUUAUUUUUUGACUUAUUUAAAUUUUUAGUAUUGUAUGCUUCAUGGAGUACCAUUUUCUUUAUGAGUUAAACAAUGAUAAAGAUAGUUGGAUGAUAAAAGGUUAGGCUUUGUAAGAUGUGGGAGUAUGUUAAUACCAAGAAAAAUGGAGAGUUGAUUAGUGUGAAUAUAAUUUUUAUUGAUGAAAAGGUUGUGUAAACUUAACUAUACACAUUAAUAUAUAUUUUUAAUGUUAACAAAAAAUAAUUAACUUUCAUAAAUAACAUUAGUUUUAUAAGACUGCGUCAUCUUUAAAAAAAAAUUCAUAUUUUUUAUCAAUUUCAUCAAUUACAAAGUAAUAAAAAAAUAAUACUAAUUUUUUUUUAAAGCCGCACAAAGUGCGGUUCUAUUUCCUAGUUUUUAAUAAAAGAAUUUACUCUUGUAUCUCAUACUCAUUCUAUUCUUCCUCGAGGAAUGUUGGAAAUUGAGAGAUAGCAUCAGGUUUCAAAUCUAAAACAAUAAAAAUAAUAUAAGCAAUAUAACUCAUAAUCUAAAAUAAUUUUGGGUCAAGACCAUUGAAAUAAGGUAUGAUCAAAUAAUAAUUUAGGACUACAACUACUUAACCAGGCUUGAAAUUUUUAUAGUAGAUGCGUAUAAAUAUUUUGAUAUUUGUUAUUUAUACUAAUAUUUAAUAUUUUAUAAUUUAAAUUUUAUAAUUCAUUUAUUAAUAAUUCUAAAAAAUAAAAUCAAAAUAAAAAAAUUAAUAUGAGGAAAUGGGGAAAUGGGUAGGGGAUGGGGAUUCCAUCUCAUCUUCGUCCCUUCCCCGAAUAAGAAAUUUGAUAUAAAAUUAUUCUCAUAUCCUCCCCGAAUAGAAAAAAAUCUCCAAGGGUCCCCGUCCCCGUGAGGAGUUUUGCCAUCCCUAGCCUAGACUCCUAUAGAGUAGAGUUAAGCUAUUAAUCACUGCACCGAUACAUCAAAAAUUAAGUAUAUGGAUCAAAGACAUCUUCAUUCAAGAGUCGAGAAAUUUCAAAGCAAAGGGGCCAAAGAUGGUGGUGCCAUUUUGUUCAACUUUCACCUCCGGAAGUUGAAAAGGACAUGAAUGCAAUUAUGCAAGUCCGUAUCAAAGAUGCAAUGAAUGACGCCUAAACUCCUAUAGAGUAGAGUUAAGCUAUUAAUCACUGCACCGAUACAUCAAAAAUUAAGUAUAUGGAUCAAAGACAUCUUCAUUCAAGAAUCUCGAAAUUUCAAAGCAAUGCUUGUCAUUUACAUAUCAAGCAAAGGGACCAAAGAUGGUGGUGCUCUAAUAUUUUGUCUAGUCAGAUUUCAGAUUUACCUUGUUCAUGUCUUUUUCUUUGGUGCAGAAGUUGACCGUGGCCUAUUUCAACAUCAUUCAUCAUCCUCUCAAUCUCCUCCUUUUUCACUGGCAGAACCAAAAAUAUCUUGCACCUCAGUGAAAUAUCAUUGGAGACAAAAAAGUUUCUCCAGCUUAUUCAACAACCAAAACCAGCCAAAUAUCAUCUCCAACCACAAAGCAAUGAGCCAAGUAAUUAAAUUUCCUUGAUGCAGGCUGAGGAAAGCCAAUAAGCAAUCAAAGGAGAUGGAAGAAUAGCACUAUUAAUUCAAGACCAACAAAGUUUGCAGCAAAACUGAUAGUAUUUAUGAUCUUGCAAAAGUCAAUCUUGUCUGGUUAUCAACACUGCAAUUAUAGCUUUUGUGCACCUCAGUUAGCCUUAAAUUGUGAAAGUUUCAGCCAAACCAACAAUUUCUAACCUACUUCUCAUGGUUAUACAAGCUAACUAGCAUCUGCUUCACUGCAUUAUGCUUAAAAAACAAUCAUACUAAAUGUCACAAUUCUGGUAUAUAAAAGUUCAGCCGUCUACACCAUUCAAGUUGAGCAUUUGACUGCAUCUCUAUGGGUACUAUUAAGGGAUGGCAAUAAUCAGUUAUGAUACGAAUAAUUGACAUCCAUAAUCCGAUAUAUCCGUCCACACCCAUGUCUAAUUUUAGAGGUUUGAUAUGGAUAUGGAUUUUUGUUUAUAUGGAUAUUGAUAUGCAUAGAUAUUCGGGAAAAAAAAUUCUACUUAACACUAUAACGAAUAGGAUACUUCUUUUAUUAGAGCUUUGUCAUGCUGAUGAUGUGCAAGAUAUCAUAAAUAAAGGGGAUCGUAGGGAACGAAAUGAAAUAAGUUUAAAGAAUUUGAAAGAAACUCUGAUUAUUCUCUUAUUCAACAACCCGGUGUGAAAUUACAUUUUACACGAGGUCCAUGUAAUUAUAUUUGUCAUUAAGAAUGAGCAUUUGCCAAAAGAAGAGACACAUGUCAUGACAAUGAGUGAUUGACAAGUGACAAAAUUGAUAGACACCCGCCGAAUAUGUCAUAACACAAACUUCUAAAAUUGCUACAGGAAAUGAAAUAUAACGAUGCACGAUGCCCAUCCAAGUUGUUUACUUGUAUUGUCCAACUGUAAAUGAGUACAGACAUGGUACCAUCAAUCGUUGUUAUUAAACUAGUCAUUGACCUCAGUCACUCCUUCAUAACCACAUAAUAAGGAGUGGCUAUUUAUUUAAAAUAUGAAGUGAAAAAUUGAAUUAAUUUAUUUGAAAUAGAAAUGGUCACAAGAAAAUUUUAAAUUAAUUUCUUGAAACAGGAUCCUACAAAUGAAGUGUUUUAAUUUCGUAAUUUAUUAUUAUUAUUGUUAUUUUGUUUUUAAAUAUUAAAAAGAAAAAAAGAAAAAAAUUGGUUUGUCUUUAGUUUCUAGCGGACAUCAGAUUCAUCAUAAUAAGCGUACCCUUGUCCAUGUAUAAAUUGCAUUUGCCUCUGAAUUCUUCAAUAAUUGAAAAAGAUGGGUGCUCGUGGGACACUCUCAUUUAUGAUACAAUUUAGGAAUAAGAACUUAAUGACGCAACCAUCACCAACAGCCUCUUUUUUUGGAGGUACUCGGAUGGCUAUUAUUGCCAUUUAAAAGAUAGCAUAAAUUUUGUAGAUUGCCAGCUAUGGCCGAGCUUUUAAAUUUUUUUAUUUUUUUUAGAGAAGAAGAAAAAUAGCCAUUUAAAAGAUAACAUAAAUUUUCUAGAUUGGCAGUUAUGUUUGAGUUUUCAAAUUUUUUUCAGAAAAAAAGAUACUUAUGCCUUUGAGAUUUAGAAAAACAAUCACACAAAUUCUCAAAUUUUUAAUAAGAUUAAUCAAGACCUCUUUUUAUUAUAAUAUCUUUUAAUUUUAUAACUAAAAAAUUUGGCUAUAGUAUUUUAUAAUAAAAAAUAACUAAAAUGACCCACCUCGAAUCUCCAGGACAAAUCUAUCUAAUCUCACCAACCGAAUUAAUAAUAAUCUAAUAUCUAAAAUUCUACCAAAAAUUCGGCAAAAUCUCUUAUAUAAUUAUGACAUUCCCAAACUUGCAAUUUAUAAAAUUUAACACUCCUAAAAAAUGAUACAAUAUUCAAUCAACCUCCACAACCAACUUGUUCAAUCAAAUACCAAUAUCCUUCAAACAUAUAAUGUCAAGAAUAUAAUAAUUUAUCUUUAAUCACAAAUAAGUAAUAAAUUAUACAAUUCAAAAUAUCCUAACAAAAUAUCUAUGAUUCCUAACAUCAUCACAUGACCAUAAUUUUAAAUUUAACUAUCGUUGUUGGGUCGACUGAUGUACCUGCAUAUCUUUUGGGAGGGGGGGGGGAGGGAAUAUAAUAAAAAAAUGUGAGUAUAAAAUUCAGUGAGCUCAGUUGAGUAUAUUAUGAAAAAAAAAAUUUACUUAAAAUAAUCUAAUCUUUCCCAAAUCAAUUUCAUCAAAAUAUCAUAAGAACUUAAAUAAACUUAUUUAAUUUAAAUCAUGUUUUAAUAUAACAAUAAUACAUAAUACGGCAUGAAAUCAAGGAAAACAUGAUACUUAUAAUAGCAAACACCAAAUACCGAAUCUAUCACCAAACAAGUACUCGGGGGAAUAAUCUCAUCAUAUCCGGACCUCGACGGAUCGGCAAUCAGAGAACCAUCAUGGCCCGAAGCUAUACGAAUAGACGGGGAAGUACUAUCUCAUAUCUCAUCAUAUAUGUGCAUGCAUAAUCUAGUAUCCAAAGGACAAGGCGCCCAAGAAUGCGGUCCAAAGCUUGUGUGUGUACUCAGAGGGGCCCCAAAGACCUAUAUUUCAUCUGUAUCAUCAUAUCUCAUCUGUAUUUCAAUAUCUAUAUCUCUGUAAUCAUCAUACUACAUGCAUAUGCCCCUAAAAGGCAAAAAUGCCCAAACACAAGACCCAAAGCCUCUAUUUGUGUUCAAACGGGCCCUAAAAGCUUCUCAUCUCAUCUGUAUCACUGUAUUUAGAUGGAAAGAGUAUUGUUUAAUGAGUUUAAAAACAACAUCUUAUACAUAUAUACAUAAACAUAAAAUGACACUUAAAUCUCAUUUCCUUUUCAUGUAACAUACUUUAAAUCUACUUUAUUCUCUUUAAAACCAUUACCGUGCAUUUACUGAAAAAUGAUAAUAAAAUCAUUAAUCAAACUCAUUUUUUGUAAUAAUAAAUAUCAACAUAUAGAUAAAAAUCCAUUUUUUAGAAAGUUAUUAAAUUCGACUGUUAAAUACUUAUUUAUCAAACAUGUUGUACUGUAUCAUAAAAUCAUAAUAUAUUAUGAAAAUCGAUUUUGUAUAUUCCACUCAUAGUGACUAUGUUCGAGCUCGAAAUCGUCAAUGUCUGUGGGUUGAUUCUUGUUCAUGGAUCCUCCUAAUAUAAUGAAAUAACAUAAUCAUUCUCUUAAAUAUGAAAUACAACUAAUUUUACGUAAUAAAUUUCGAAACGAAUAUCUAUCAAUAAUAAACUAUUCCCGUAUGCAUAAAAUUACCAAAAUACCCCAUGCAUGCCAAAAUUACCAAAAUGCCCCUUAUAUCAAUAUUUACCAAAUUAUCCUCAUAAUCCUAAAUUACCAAGCUGACGUCAAUUCAGAUCACAAAAAUAACCACAAUGUUAGAAAUUAUGAAAUUACCCUUAGAGAAUGUCCUUAACAACGUAAAUUACUAAAUUACCCCCGUAAUCUCAAAUUACCUAACUGCCCUAGUCCAAAAUUACUAAACUAUCCACCAAUUUUGGAAAUCACAAAAUUAUCCCCCACCGUUUUGUGAAAUUACCGAACUACUCCUGGCAGUUAAUGGUGACCGGACUUCGGUCGACGGCGACGAGAAGAUCAGAUCUGAUAGUUCUUAUCUCAGUGAGUCCAAUGGUGCCGGCGGUGACCAGCCACGCGCGCCGACGGUGGUAGAUCGAGCUUCCCUAGUCGCGAGCUUUUCGGUGGUCGAUCGGUGGAAUUCCAACCGUUUCAGGCAGCGAGUUUGGUUGGAAAAUGAUGAGGGUGAGCUGAGGAACAAGAUCCAAGCAGUGGCGCGGCCUAAUUCCGGCGAAAUCAAUGGCGACGAAAACGAGUUGAGAUGUGGGUUUUUCAAGCUUGAUCGCCGGCAUUCUACCCAUUUUCCGAUGAGGUGACCGGAAUCGGUGGCUGGAGUUGGGUCGGGUUGCGCGAUUUCGGGUCGGGUCAGGUCAAACUCGGUCAGCUUCUCUCUUUCUCUCUCUCCCUCUCCCUUUCUCAAUUUAUACAACCAAUUCUCUUUUUUUUUUUUCAAAGCUUAAUACAAAUUAAGCUAAUACUGAACCCAUAUUGAAAAAAAAAUCCGACUACCCAACCUUUUAAUCACGC